rnacentral:lncRNA from 1 species
AACUAAAAAAAAAAAAAUCCAGUGGGAGACACAACAGCAAAUGAAUUCAGAAGCCCUCAAUAUCCGUUCUGAGACAACAACACAGAUAUGUAUAUGUACACGAUUAUUCGUCUGAUAACCAACAUCCGUUCUAUCGAGAUUGUGAAGAAUCAACGAGGUGCUUAAGAGUGCAAGGCAUCUUGUUCCACAUAUUCGGUUAGCACAAAUUUUUAGAAGUCAGCCUCAUGAAAGAUAAAUCAAAAGAAACAGCAGGAACCACUUACGUUAAUUGUCAAGAACUCACACUUCCCAACAUCUUCCACAUCCCACCACCAGCAUUCGCAGGUUGAUGGAAGACGUUACGAGCCCACCUCAUGUAAUGUGGGCCACAAAGCCGACAACCCUCAUCUGACAAAGCAAUGCCCCAAGACAAUCUGUACAAAAGGGAUCAAUGCCAUCAUGUAACCGUGCCAUAAAAAAGAUCUUCCAACUUGACUCAUUCAAACCCUGCGAUUCCAUAUAUCCUUGUAAUCAACCAGGUGUCAGACAACGACAUCACAGCCAGCACGCGCAAUAAAAAGUAGGCCACAACUAUAUUCCAAGCAUAAUCGAGUAGCUGACAAAUGCAAACCAACGAACUUACCCCAAACGGCUUACUACGGCAGUACCCUGAAACCGUCAAAUUUUCCAAGGAAACUAUAACAAAGAAAUGUGUGUAUUUAUAUGAAUGCUCCACAGGCUUGAAAUUUUCAAACUACAUUGUACAUAGGACCAACCAGCAAAACUAAGGAUCAAUGUGUCUUCCUAAACCAACUAGAAGUACAUCGAGGAUUCCUUCCAACAAGAAGACCUACUGCAACUGAUCAAGCUCAACAAUGUCUGCACCACAUAUCACUUCCACCUCCUCCGUCUCCUACUCUCCAUUACCCAUCCCCCCUUCCACCCUCCAUUCCAAUCAUCACCAUCCACAUCCACAACUCUCUGCACGCCAAAAUGUAAUUCUCCAAUAAAUAUAACCAUAGCACCACCUCGUCCCUAAAUCUGUUCAGAAUCUAGUGAUUACCGUAUCUCUCUCCAUGGUGCACAUCUUAACCAUGUAGUCUCCACUACUUUACUACACAACAGAGUUCUGAAAAAAUCAAGUGGUAUCGGACAUUCCAAUUCCUACGCAACCAAAAUAAACACAGAAGACCGCCUCCUACCCACUGCUUCCUCUAACUCUCGGCCCUCCCCCUCCUCCCCUACCCCUUCUCCUACACCACACCUACUGGCAGGUCACUCCAUUCCCAUCCGACCACUCGAUCGGCUCCUCGCCGCCUGUGGCUCCACAUUUCUGGACCAUGGUCAUGCAGCCAAAAUCCUGCCGCCUUUACUUUAACACUAGGUCGACACGCCUGCGCCCAUCCCAACACAAUCCCAUCGUCAGCCCCGCAACACAAAUCCCGCCACAAAUCACCCUCCCACCACCACUUCCUUCACGCAUCGCACGCACCUACUACCCGCCCCACAUCUCUACCCAUCAUGCGCUACCUCGACACCGCUCUUACCACUACUCUCCACCAUCUAAGCACCCCNNNNNNNNNNNNNNNNNNNNNNNNNNNNNNNNNNNNNNNNNNNNNNNNNNNNNNNNNNNNNNNNNNNNNNNNNNNNNNNNNNNNNNNNNNNNNNNNNNNNGUUCACCGCUCCCUCCGCGCUCGCACCUCCGCCCACGCCGAACCCCGCUCCGCUCCCGCCCCCCACCGACCCUGUCGUCCCCGAAUUAUACGCCUCCGACCCCGACGACCUCCAUGUGUUGUCCGCGUACCCUGAAUAUGCAUCCCCGUACCCUCCCCCACCGUAGCUCCCGCUCCCCGUCCCCGCGCCCGAGCUCCCGUACCCUCCUCCUCCCCCGCUCGAUCCGUACCCGCUACCCCUACCGCCAUACCCACCCGCCGAUCCGUACCCUGUCUCGCUGCUCCCGUAACCAUACCCCGCAGCACUCCCGUACCCCGAGCUCGCUGCUGCCCCCGCUCCCGUCCCCGUCGUCCCCCACGCCGCAUUCCCGUAUCCGCUCAUGCUCCCGCUCCCGCUCCCCCCGUACCCAGUCGAGCUCGCGCCCGUCCCGUAUCCCCCACCCCCGCUCCCCCACGCGCUCCUCCCUCCCGCAGGGGCGCUCCCGUACCCUGCGCUCCCCGUGCCCCCGCUGCCAUACCCCGCCCCGCUUCCGUACCCUCCCGCUCCGGGAGCGCUCCCGUAACCUGCACUCCCAUACCCUCCCGCUCCGCUCCCGUACCCCCCGCCGCUCCCGUACGCGCUGCCUCCAUACCCCCCGUUCAUCCCCGCGCCAUACCCCGCGCUGCUCCCGAAUCCCGCUGCGCCGUACCCCGCGGCCCCGUAUCCCGGAUACCCGCCUCGCCCCACCGGCGUCGGCCCGUACCGGCUGUCCCCGCGCCCCCCGUAUCCGCUCCCUCCUCCCGGACUCCCACCCCCGUAUCCUCCCUGGCUGUACCCCGAUCCGUAGUUGCCCCCGCCGCGACCGCCUCCGCCGAACCCCCCGCCAGCCCGCCCCGACCCCGCCGACAGCUCCUUCGGAAUCGCCUUCUUCACCUCCACCAUCUUGUCGUUCAGCUCGUGGAACGACUUCUGGAUCACGUUCUCAACUGCAUCCUCAGAAUCAAAAGUGAUGAAGCCAAACCCCCGAGGCCUUUGCGUAUUGUGGUCAUACAUAACAACCACGUCUGUAAUAGUACCAAACUGCUCGAAAUACUUUUUGAAGUCAUCCUCUGUAACUGUCGAGGCUAAGCCCCCCACAAAUAUCUUCUUUGUCCUAGUGUGGGAUGUUGCAGGCCCUUGGCCACCCACGCUGUUGCUCCUAGGUAUACUCUGCUGUUCGUCUCUCGGCACAGCUUUUUUCGCUUCCACCUAGAAUGGGAAAAAAAAAUAUUUAACAAAGACACGCUACACAAAGUUAUACAACUGCCACACAACCUCAUGCCACCAACCACCAUCACCACACGCACUCCCGCAUGCCACCCCCCUCCCAUGCAUUCAACUCCACCUCGAUCCCCCUUCGCCCGACACCUACCGCCCCCCUCCCUCCCUCCCACCCUCGCGCCCUACCGCACUGACCUCACCACGCCACCGGCCCUCCCCUCCCCUCCCCUCCCCGAGUCCAAGACAGAGCGCUUACCGUUCUUCCGUCGAUGGUGUGCUUCUCGCCGGCCACCCGAUCGGCCACGCUCGGGUCCGCGAAUAUCACGAACCCGAACCCCCGCGCGCGCCCCGUCGCGCGGUCCUUCAUGAUCACCGUCUCCGCCACCUCGCCAUAGCUCUUGAAGUAAUCGCGCAGCUUCUCCUCCGUCGUCUCCCAAGAGAUGCCGCCGAUGAACAGCUUGCCCUGAUCGGAGUCCAUGGCCGCCGACCCGUCCUGGUCCGCCAGACUUCCCGCCCUCCUAACUCCCGCUGAAAUGGUUAGAAAAAUCGGACUCCACCAAACCCAAAUGCCCCUUACAUACACAAAGAUCUAAAAUGAUGUAAAGGAGAGGGAGAGGUAGAGAACUGCUUGGACGAUCCGCAUUCAACGCGCGAACCAACAGGCCGCGGUGGGGCAGGGGGGAAGGAGAGGGAAGCGUGAGCCUAGGGUUAGCAGUGACACCCGAAGCGUGGUACAAAAAUAAGAGAGAAUGGGGAGCGGACUACAAUAGGAGAGAUGGAGGGUGGAGAAGGACGUGUGACGAGGCAGUCUCAGGAAUGAGAGAGAGAAAAAGACGAGGCGGAGAGUAGACGGGCGCGGGAACUGGCAAGAACGGGACGUUCCCUGGGUGCCUGCUUUCGUCCAUUCACGGGAGCCCGUCGAAGCCGGGGCUACGUCACUGGCUUCCACGCCCGCCCGCGCGCUUGUCAUGCCUCUUGAGGAAAUGGGUCUUGCCGCGUGUUCAUUCGCUUUGUGACACCCAUUCUAACUGCCCCGCACGGACUCUAAUUGCUUUCUAGUGUUAUGGUUGGUGCCCGAGGUUGCGGAGGCGAUCCCCAAUCCUUCCCCCCCACGACUCACCUUUUCAAACUAAGUCUUCCUCCUCCAUGACACCAUUAUAGCCCACAUCCUGCGAAUAACAGCUCCAACUAGUGUUUCCGUUAUCCUCCCCAACUCACUGAGCCUGUCCGCCCCUCUUUCUCUCUGGAUGUUCGUUCAUCCACCUCGAUGUCAUCACCUAUCAUUGGUUUGUGUUGUUGAAUCGCAAUGGCAAUUCGUACCCCCCUCAUCGUGUUCUUUGUUUCUUCUCUUCGGUUUGUCUGUGCGUGCUGUCAUCCAUUGAACAUCCACCCUUCAUCUGGAGUAAACAUGGAUGAGAAAAAGUGGAUGAAUGUUUAGAACCGAGUGGUUCGUCACACAUGAGAGGGCACUAGCUUCGAUGAUGGCGUCUGGAUUCUAAAUUUGGACGAAACCAGUGAUGCUCGAAGAGCGGGUAUAUCGCCCGAGUCAGAGCCCCAGUUCCAUUCUACUCUAGACUUUGUUGUGAGGUGAAUUUGGGAGAGUGCAACCUGCGUUUGAGUAAGUACAAUUAAGCAGUGGAAAAGGUGCGGAGGAUCUGGAUUUUGUUUCCGGUGGCCAGAUUGUAUUGCGUUGGUUGGUUUGGAAGGCGUAGUUUGUCCUUUGCUCCGAAAACUUUUUUGAAUGGAGCUGGCGGAUGUUUUAGCGAAAGACAUGUCCUCGUCAUCCAGGAUAAGUCUAAUACUCGGAUUGAAGAAGGGAAAUCCGAGGAAAUUUAGGACACUGAGACGCCGGUUGUUCCUACGGAAUAAGUUCCGAAUAAUGAUUAUAUUUCAUCGGGACUUCUGUUGAGGCUGUAAGUUUGCGAGUUGCCAAAUUUAGAUGUUCUCCAGGUGUUCUAUCAAUUCUUCUCAGGCUUCCAAUCUGGACAAGUUUUAUACGGAAGAUUUGAAGUAAUGCAGCAGGCUUCUACAGUUUAACGUAUACGAGAAUUUGUUUAUCUCAUUUCUUGCACGGAGGUGCCCGUACAGAAGUUUGUUUCGGAGUUUGUUUACCUGUUUUGUUGGAUUUCUUCUGAGUUUAUCUUAGAAUUACAAGGUUUGUAUGUUUAUCGCGGAUGGCAUUUGUUGUCAACCUUUUUGUUGUGGAAGUGUCUGGAUUCGUGAUAGUGUGACCUGUUCGAAAAAGUACCUACGAAAAAUUAUCCUUAUCUAUGAUCGUCUGAUUCGAUGUUCUCGUUGAGCAUUGAACAGAGCCUCUGUCCUGCUACGGUUUGUCUUUACCAUCCAGGCAUCGACCUGAUUUCCUGUUUUUCCUUAUCAGGUAAUCUCUUAAGGAUCACUUGCGAGUAGUUUCAGUCCAUAGCGUGAAGCACGAUAAAUUUGCACUAAGAUUAGUGCCUGGUUGCUUUCUCAUCAAUAUUUUUGCUUCUGGACUCCUGUCAGUCAAGCUUUUGAUAGUUGAGAGAGCAGUGUUGCCGAUAGAGAAUGCUGUCGAUGGAAGCACUCAUCGCAAUUAUGAUCUACUUCAAAGUCAUCGUCCCUACAUAGUUGGUAAACUUCAACUUGCAGUUCAUCAUUGUCGUACAUGACUUCCAGGCGUUAAGGAAGCGGGAUUACUACGAGUUUUUAGUCACACCCUGAUACAUAAUGCUUCACACACUAGUGGUUGCUUUGUUCGAGGUGUAUUUUCAUUAUCAGAAUAGUGUAGGGUAAGAGUGGCUGUGGUGUAAAAUUUUCCAAGUUACUGGUUUAGAAGUUGCUGCUUGAAAAACACCAUGUCUCUUUUAGUACUACUUCCAGUUGCCAGUAGCAUGAGGAAGUGUGUAUUGCUACUAGUUACUGAACUUCUAAUCGAGAGUUUUUUUUCCAUUGUGAUGUAGAGAGUCGUUAUAUAUCUAAGUCAUUAUUCUUUAUAAACAAAUUACUGUUAUUAUUAUCAACUCAUUGCCCUUUAGUUUCGUUUAUGUCUGAUGUAGAAUGUAAAGUCUUUCAUAUUUGCAUAAUGGUUGGAACAUUUAUUAUCUGGUUUUAACUUUGUUUACAAAUCACAGUCUCUAACUCAAUGUGAGCAAACAUCGACGAAGUUCGUCAUGACUCGAAACUUUAGGUCAUACAGCUGUAGCUGCACAGGUAAUCAAACUAUUGAUUUUUGAAGUUUGUAAUUCAGAUGGCUGUUAUAACUAUAAAAUCUCUCUAAGCGUCAUUUCUACCUUUUGAGAUUUCAUGUUAGGAUUUUGGAAGGGGAUAUUUCUAUUUUUCUUUAAACUAUGUUAUUUCUGAAGCUUAGUUGCGGAGACAGUUUUGUGCGUUCACUUGCAUUGAUUUAGUGAUUAUUUUCAGGGUGAAGUUUUGUGCCUUUCUUGAUUGUGCAUCUAGUUGUGUUUUCUGAUGUUAAUCGAAUGUGCAGUGCUUUUAAUCUUGCGCAGGACUUCUAAUGGAGAAUCAGAUUCAAGGUAAUGUGAUACUGAUUUUCGCAGUUAAUCAUUCAUAAAAUUCGGAAUAAAGGAGUUGCUGGAAAUGCACGGGCCACAGAAAUAUACAGGCAGGACAUCCUUAAAGAUGGCAAACGGGUAUUAUUCUGUCCCUUUGAAACGUAUAAUUUAUUUUGGACAGAGCCUGAGGAUAGACAAAUACAAGUGUCAAUUUCUGCUGUUGGAAGGUCUUGUUUUUUGUUGUUUAGUGAGAAGUGCUUUUCCAGUACGUUUCUGGGUUGAUCUUGGGCACCAACAUGGAUUCAGGAUACACGAUCAUUGCCUGAAGUGGGUAAUUUGUGAUAAUAGAAAGUGCAGGAUGAUCUAGACAAUAUCACUCGCUUUUUAAUGCUUGCUAAACAACCUAUUGUUCCAGGAACUGGUCUACCAUUAAAGGUGGGAUGGGUUUUCAUUCUUUAUAGAUACACUAACGUGAAUUUUUACUAUUGAACAAGAACCUGACACGUCAAGAAUCUUAUUGGUGUAUACCUGCAGCUGUCUAUGGCCAAGUGAUCCAUGGUUGUUGUUAGCAGAUAUGCAAUUUCUUUCUUGGGAUGACAUUGCAUGCAAACAGUCUUUUGCCUGUGCAAGUCUCAGUGUUUUCUCAACUUUUUAAGUUUGAGGUCUCCACUUUCGUGCAUAUUCAUUGCUCGAAAUUGUCUAGGUGAUUUGUCUUGACGCAGACCAGUAUUGUGCCCACAUUCUAAGAAGGACCAGGUGUUCCGUUCAAGGCACUCACUGUCUUAGCACUGCGAAGCAUCAAUCUUACGAAGGUAUUCAAUUUCUGUAGUUCUACAUGGAUUAAAUGGUAAUGUACGUGGAUUGUGGUGCACAAGUAUUUGAAACUCUUAUAUUGACUUGGCAGAUUGAAAGUCGUCCUCAACGAAAGAUGCCUUUGCACGUGGUGGAUGAUAGUAACAAUUGACGUGCUUUCACAACCUCUUAAUUAAUACAUUUCAUGUUCUUUUCAAUCCCAACAAGGGGUCCCUCAUUUUACAAGUUUAUUUUUGUUCAACCUGUUUCAGCCACAGCUUUAGGUGAACACCCCCACAAGUAUAUACCAGUAGGAUUUUUUUUUUUUUUUUUUUUUUUUUUUUGUUUUCAAAUCGGAUAUUGAUAUGCUUGGCAUAGAUGUGCUAGCAUUUUGGUCAUUUGAAGCUUCAAUGCGAGCCUCAGACAGCUGCUCUCUCUCUACACUUGAGCAUAAUGUUGGGCUGAGUUGUAACUAAAAUUAGGGAUAUUGUUGUACUUUCUUCAUUUUUGCAGCAGUUUUGUGGUUGAGAGGCUUCAAAACUCUAUGUUCACAUAAUUGAAUAUCUGAUCAUAUUUGAAGGUAUGUACAACUUUGGGUUCAUUAAUAAAUUAUAAUUUAUGAAAUGUUACUUUCACUUGAGUGUGAGUGUUUGUAACAAAAUUGAAUAAUCUUUUUGUGUGUUCUUCUCAGAUUUGAACAUUUCUUGACAAAGUGACAAUAGGUUAACAAGGAUCAAGUUGCACAUUGACAUGGCUUUUAAGAUUUCUUAUUAUUUCUCCUGUAAUUAUUUUAAGGUUUCUUUUAAAUUUGAUUAAAGCUAGUGUUGCAUUGUUAAGAUUUAAUUAGAGUUUAUUUAAUAUUCUAUUAGACUUAAGAUUUUGUAAUAGCAAUUUCGAUUUUACCUUCCAUAAUACAACAUAUUUGGUGAAUUCGACAUAAAAAACCUGAGAUGAAAGAUAUUUGGUUUUCUUGGAUUAUUUAAAUUAUACAAAAGAAAGGCAAGAGAGUUGAAAGAGGAGCUAUAAGUGGCAGAACUAGUAAAGAACAAAAUAUGUAUUUCAAUCUCAAUUUUGCAAACAUAUUUAAAGCUUUUGCCUUAUUUAUGCAAUAACAACAGAUUAAAGAUCGCAAAGAAAGUAUGGCAAAAAAAACAUUACAAGAAGUUGUAAAUAAGAUUGAUUAAUUUGAAGAAAAUGAUAUUAUAAAAUAUUUAAGGUGUUAUGUCAAAAAAAUAAAAUUAAAGUAUAUUUAAGAAAGGAAGAUGGUUCAAUUAUUUGAAUUAGCCUUUGUACCAAAGAUAAGAAAUCAAGUAAAGUUUCUUAUAGCACAUUUUGGAGGUUUAUAAGAGAAAUUUUCCCAAGCAUUGAAGGAUGAAUUUUUUUUGGAAGAUAGUAACAAGGUUACAAAAAAAGUCAUUUUUUGAAUGAAUUAAAAGGAAAAAAAAAAAAAUGAUCUUCUAGCAACAGAAUCAUUAAAAAAGUUUGAAAAGCAAUAUUUUUAUUUAUCAAAGAAAGAUGGGUAGUUAUUAGAUCCAAGUAAAAUCAAGCUUUUUCUUUAAGUAGGUAAUGAAGAAUUGCAAGAAAAGUUGGAAAUUUUGCUUGAAGAUAAAGAAGAAGAUGAAGGAUUAACAACAAAUUGGGAAGAAGUAGAAGAGGUAGUAGAAUUGCUUGCAAAAAGAGAAAAGAGAAUAAAAAAAGGACAAGGUGGGUAUUCAAAGACCAUUGCAAAUAUCCCAAGUAAGAAUACCUACUACCAAUCUUAUAUCUAUGAUUCAACCUUCAAUGGCUACAUCAAAGAAAGAUGAAAUGGACAUCAAUGAAAUUAUAUAAGAGAUGAGAGAUUUGCAAAUAAAAUUUGCAAAAUUUGAAGAGAAGGUUCAAUCAUCAAGAGUAUUAAUAAAACAAAGGUUAGGAUCGAUAGAAGGUGUAGUACAUAGGUGCAUGUGAUAUGAUAGCAUAUAUCAUUCGAGAAGGAAAUGUGAAGAUUUUAUAGAGGUGUUACAUAAAGAGAUUGUUUUUUUCAAAGUUGAUAUAAUACACCUAAAAAAAAGUGAAGAAAAAUUGGAGACAAACUUUGGCAAUGGAGGUAUGAAAGUAUUGAUGGUUCAUGCAAAGGAAACAAAGACAUAUAGAAUUGGACUUACUCAAGAUUGUGCCAGCAUAAGCAUUAAAGCAUUGGAUCAUAUAAAUUCAUUGUGGCCAAGUACAAUGAAGUGUGCGGCAAAUGACAAGGUUGCUAGAAAUAUAUUAAUUAAUGCGGGUAAGUCUAUUCAAGAAACCAUGGGUUGGAAUGAUCUGAUUGAUAGUCUAUGUGUACAUGCAUAUGUUGCAAAGAAUCAACAUAAAAGAUUAAUAGAAGAAAAAUAAAAGAGAGAUGAAAAUAAUGAAGGGCCAUGAGAUAAAAGAACUAUGAGGGGAGAAAAAGCACGACAACAUAAAAAUCCUAUGCAUGAAGCGACAAAAGAGAAUAUUUUUCCAAAAGAAAGAGAAAUUGUAAAAGAAAAAGCAAAGGCUCCUAUUUAUAAAUUACAAUCACAUAUUGAAGCAACAACGGAUUUGAGGAAGAUUUUAGAAGAAUGCAUUUUAAAUGGCAAGGUGGAAUUUACACAUCACCGAAGAGAUGAUAUUGGAACGAGGAAUCCUUGACCUAGUUGCAUGGAAUGGGCAGCCACCAGUAACAGUGAAAUUGAGCAUAUCAUAUUACGUCACUGCUUCAUUCGCAUCAUCGACAUUUGCAGCAAAUAACAACGUUGUUCCAGGUCAAUAAUGGCUAACAGUAAACACAGAGAAUGCGAGGCAUAAAUUCAAAGCUCGCCAGGUUCCUUUGCCGGCGCCACUCUUCCCCAACGUCGUUUAAAAUUCCUCGAUCCUGGAUGAUUUCUAUAUAAUAGUGGCAGGGCUCUCCCUGGUUAUCAUUCACAUCAUUUUUCUGAUCAUGUGCUGUACUACUUCACUCCCGUACUCGACAACCAAAUCCAAUAAUAACAUUAAGGCUGGUUGAUGAAUCUCAACAAUUAUGAGAUGCCCUCAACCCUGCAGUUGCAAGGAAGUCUACCGAACUUCCGAAGAUGCCGAAAAUUAGCUAUACUAAGGACUUGUGCAAUCCAGAGAAGUCAAUCAAAUUCGGUCCAUAUGGACUACCGCUUCAGAAAUCAUCAGAGCAUUGAGCGAGGUCAUGGAGAGAUAUACCCGAGAACACCGUGCAACAGUAGUGAACCCUAAUGCAAGAUACGAGUAGAAGAUGUUGUACUGUACCCUCGACCAGUGCGACUCUAGAACGAAUGUCUGGAGGACGAUGGAGACUUGGAAUAUUGGAGCUGGGAGGAGCGCAAUCAUUGGGAUUCUACUGUAAAUGUUUCUAAAUUGUAACAUAAAUUGAUAAAAACAAUCUUUGAAGAGAACAUUUAGAGAUCAUUCUUCAGUCUGUUUCCUUGUGAUAUUGCAUUCCCUAGAGCUCAUUCUCCAACCCAUUCUCCUAAUUUGUGUUUUGUAUGGCAGAAGCAGUGGUUGGAGAAGAAGCAUGUGGGAGCUGGAAUCUAGCUCAGUAUUUGGGUUGGUGACGCCGACGAGCUGGACAUAGCCCAUGGUGACAGUGCGGGAGCCGAAAUACAUGAGCUCAUCGUGUUCUAUCCCACAGCCGCGUUUGCUGAGACCACAGCCGUCACUGCAAUGAGACAAGUGGCAAAGUGUUGGAGCAGGAGGAUGACAUCCAGUAUGCACACACGUUGCCGCUGUCCAUCACGCCUAGAUCGCUCCACAAUCAUCGAACCCGUUUCUUCUACAAUUAUGCGGCGUUGUCUGAGGUGCCUUCAGAUGCGACUCCCCAGACCAUCAGUGAAGUGCGGAGAGUUUCCACCGCUAACGGUCGUAGAGUUUGAGGUGCCGACUUGUCACACUGACUCCACAGAACUGGCUCUGGAAGAUUGUAUGACUUGCGUUACCUCGGUGGAAGGACCAGAUACUAACUGAAAGAAGGAGUUAGUUGACCAACGCAGAUCCAGACCGGACUGUCUGUGUUCGAGCACAAGAGGGAGAAAUCCACGCCUCGAUAUGGGUCAGGUUUCGCAGCCGGAGAGGAGAUUUGGGAGGGGCUCAACAAGGAUGAAUCAACAUUCAUAGAUCCAAACAAUGUUCCGAAAUCGAGUGGAAAUGAAUUCUACAGCGAAUAGUUUGUGUGUUUUUUUUUCUACGCAAGGAAUUGCGUUAGUAAUCGGACGGAUUCUUAUGGGCCGCGUAGCACCUGAACCUCUGUGUGGAUGCCAUAGCCAGCAUGAACAUCGGCCGCUUUCAACGUCUCCUGUGGGUUUACGAUCAAAUAUCAAAAUGUCACCGUAAUGAAUGUGAAUAUGUCGAUAUUAAAACGUUAUCAACGCUUACUCUCAUUGUUAGAUGUCAAAAUGUAGUAAGUUCCUUCUAUAAAAUAUUAAGAAUGACUUACAAGGUUGAUAUCAUUCAUGUUUUUAAAUUUGAUGGCACAUACUUUAACAUUUGGCAACUUUAACAUUUGGCAACUUUAACAUUUGGCAACUUAAAUCCUUACAUAUAGCACCUAAUACAUCACAAAUUAUUGCUAGUAUGUCAACUUUGCAUGCUACAAGAGUUAAAAACAAUACCCAUUGAGAAGAUAGAGAUAUAUUAUUUCUAACAAUAAUUAAUAAUUUUCUCAAAAAUAACAUUAUAUUACAUAUACAAUUAUAUAAGACAUCAAAUAAAUUAUGGAAGGAAUUAAAAAGUAUGUUUGAAUCAUAAGAUGCAAUAACCAAGAUGUAUCUUAAAGACAAACUACACACUCUUAAAAUGAAAGAAAAUGAGAGUAUCACUAAAUAUAUUCAUGUGUUUAGAUCUUACCUUAAGCAAUUGCUAAUAGCUAGAUGUCCAAUUCAAGAUGAUGAAACAAUUUUAACUCUUUUGAGAAGUUUUCUCCUAUCUUAUAGAUCUAUAAUUAACUCUUUAAGAAUACAAAUAGAUAUUUUAUACAAUCAUUAAUAAGAAAAUUAAUAAAAUAAAAAAUCUUAAUAAAGGAUAUGAAUUUAGCUAUAAAAAAUAUAUUAGUUUUUUAGGUUUAAAAGAAGCAAUCUUAUAAUAAUAAAAAAUCACACUAUAUUAAAAAAAUAUAAGAAUUUUUAAAAAAAGUUUAAAAAAUCUUCUUGAUCUUUUGAGAAAAAGAACUAUUCUAUUGACAAGAAAUGCUUUUAUUGUAAAAAAUAUAUAUAUCUUAUUUAUAAUUGCAAAGAAGAAUAGCUACUCAAGAGAUAAAAUAAUUAAAUAUGGUUACAAAAUCAAAUAGACUUUAUGGAAUUAUAGUCACAAUCUACUUCUAUGUAAUAUGUAAAUUCUAGAGCAACACAACAUAUGUAUCAUAAAUCAAAUAUUUUCACUAAUUAUCUAAAGUAUGUAAAUUAAAAACUUAUGCAUUUAUAAGAUGAUUGUACAUCUUAUAAAAUAAAAGAACAUGGUGACGUUACAAUAAGACUUUUAACUGGUAUAGAGAAAAUCAUAUCUAAUGUCAUACAUGUAAUUAAACUUGUAAAGAAUUUGUAAAUAAUUAGAGAAAAUUAGAGGUGAAAUUUAUAUUAAAUUUUGAAUUUAAACAUUAUUAAAUAAACAAGACCAUACAAUUGCAAGGUGCAAGUUAAAUCCCAACUUAUAAAAUUGGACAUUAUUAUAAUCUCAAAUCAAAAAGCAUUGGCAAUACCAACUACUAUACAAAAUUUGAGUAAGGCUGAUUUAUGACAUCUAAGACUAAGCCAUAUAAAUCAACAAUUAAUGUCAAAAGGCAUUGAUCCUUUUGAUAUAUAUAAAAUGACUUUUUGUCAAUUAUGUAUUGAAGGUAAACAAUACAAAGAAAAGUUUCCUAUAAGUGGCAUACAAAAAGCUACAAAGCUUUUUAAACUUUUUCAUUUUGACAUUUGCGGCCUUGUGUAAAUUGAUACAUAUUUUGGAUGUAAAUAUUUUGAUACUUUCAUAGAUGAUUUAUCUAGAUAUUAUUAUGUCUACUUAAUAAAAAAAAUCUAAAAUAUUUGAUAAAUUCAUAUUCUAUAAGAAUUUUAUAGAAAAAAAUUAAUCACAAAAUUAUAAUCUUAUAAUUUGAGUGUAAAAAGAACAUAGAUAUAUAUAUAUAUAUAUAUAUAUAUAUAUAUAUAUAUAUAUAUAUAUAUAUAUAUAUUUAAUUCAUUUAGUGAUUUUUGUAAAAAUAAAGGCAUCAAAAGAACUUUAAUAGAAGCCAUUUUAGUUAUGUUAUUAUAUGUUAAAUUACCUAAAUAUUUAAAAAAAGUAUUUCAGAUUAUAAAUUAUCUCUAAAAUAAAAGUUUUACUAAAAUUAUUAUAAAAAAUAAAAUUUAUUUUGAAAUAUGGUUUAGAAGAUGACUUAAUCAAUCUUAUUUAAAAGUUUUUAGGAGUAAGUUCAUAUCCUUGUUUAAAAAAAAACUAAAAGAAAGUUUGACUCUUAUUCUAUAAAAGCUAUUUUUUUAAGAUGUAAUAAAGAAUCAAAUGCUUAUUGCCUUGUAAGCAAACAUAAUAAUAUCAUUGUAGUAUUCUAAAAUGUUAUUUUUAAUAAAUGUUUUUAUGUUAAAUCAAGAGAUUUAGAAUCUAUCAACUCUUUUAUAUCUAUCACAAGUCUAGUUAUCAAGCUAAUAUGGCUAAGACAACACAUCUUCAUCUAAAACUUUCUAAAACUAUGAUUGAAGCUUUAGCCAAACCUAAUGAAUAUCAUUGGCAAGUAUCCAUUAUUGUUGAAUUUAAAUCAUUAAAAAAGAAAAAAUCAAACUUGAAAGUUAAUACUACUUCUAUUAAUUAAAAAUUGAUUAGCUUUAAAUAUGUCUUUAAGAUUAAAACCUAUGCUGAUGGUACUAUUAAUUAAUAUAAAGCUAUGCUAAUAGCAUGUGGCUUUAUUCAAGUACAAGAUAUUAACCAUUUUAAAAUAUUUUCCCUUAUUCUAAACUUAAUUCCAUAAAAGUCCUAUUACUCAUAGCUACUUGAUAUAAUUUAGAAAUAUAUCAAUUAGAUGUCAAAACAAUCUUUUUUAAUGAAUAUAUUGAUAAGGACAUAUAUAUAUUUAUCUCUAAAGGAUUAUCAACAUCUUUUAAUUCCAACAUAGUGUGCAAAUUCAUUAAGUUCUUAUAUAGACUUAAAUAAUCUUUAUAAGUCUAAUAUGUAUAUUUUGAUAAUUACUUUAUUCAACAAGAACUUAUUAGAUUAGAUGUUAAUACAAAUAUCCACAUUAAAAGAGAUAAUAAUAAUAAUAGAUUUAGUAUUUUGACAAUCUAUUCUAAUAACUAUAUAUUUAUUAGUAAUAACAUUUCAUUUAUUUACAAAAUAAAACAGAUUCUUUACUAGACAUUUGACAUAACAAACAAAGUUAAAAUAUAUAAUAUACUUAGAAAUUCUAUUACUAAAAAUUGGCUAGAAGGUUGGACUAUCUUAUAUUAAUAAUAAUAUUUAUUUGAUAAAUAUAAAGAAUAUUAUCUAUUAAAUUAUAAUCCUUUAAGUACACCUAUAUAAUAUGAAAUAUAAUUAAAUAAAGAUGAUUCUUCUUCUACCCAAGAGGAAAAGAUACUUAUUAGUUUAUAUUCUUUUUCUUAAUUGGUUUGGCAAGUUUAUACAUAUGCAAGUUAAUUCUAGACCAGAUUGUACUUACACUAUUAAUAAUAUAGCAUAAUAUCUAUUUAAUCUUGAUUAAUUCUAUAUUCAAAAUUUAAAAAGAACUAUGCAAUAGAUCAAAGAUAUAUUAAGUUUUAAUAUUAGAUGUAAAUAAUUACAUAUUGGGCAUAUUUUUUAUGGUUAAUCAAAUGUUGAUUGGACCAAUAGUAAAAAUGUUUAAUGUUCAACUUUGGAGUAUUGUUUUCUUUUGGUUGACAUGGUUAUUACUUGGGAUAGUAAAAAAACAACAAAGUAUUUUUUUAUCUUCUAUAAAAUUAUAAAACAUGGCUUUAGCUAAAAUUAAUGCUAAAUUUUUAUAUUAAUACAAAUUAUUAACCAAAUUAAGGUUUUUAUAAUUUUAUUUUAUUAUUUUAUAUUGCAAUAAUUAAAGUGUAAACUCCAAGUAUCAUUCUUAUAAUAAGUAUGUAAACAUAUAACACAAUUUAUCAAAGAAAUAUUUUUUCUCAUGAGAUUCUAUUAAGUUGUAUUUUUAUAUUUAAUAUGAUUACUGAUAUUUUCACUAAGUCUUUAUAUCAAGACAAAUAUAAGCAUUGUCUAAUCAACUUGAGAAUGUGUUUGAUUCCAACCAAGGCUAAUUCAAGAAGUGAAGCCUUUGCCACUUAUAUAUAAUACUUUGGUUUUAAUCCACAUUCUUCUUACUCAUGUAAAAACUAUUUACUAUUGUGUAUCUAUAAUUAUUACCUCAAGCAUUUACUACAUUAGUUAUUUAUGCAUGUCCACAUAUUCUUUUAAUUUAUGAAUCUAUUAUUUAUGUCUCUUAUAACAAUAAUACAUAAGUUAGGAUAAUUUGAUUGAUCUUAGAGUGGAAGAUUGUGAGUCAUAAAAAUGACUUUUUUUUAGUUUUAGAAGAAAAAAAUACACUUAGAAUAUCAAAAAUCACAAUUAUUAAGUAAAGUGAAUGUAAAAAACUCUAGAUGAGUGAAUAAAUAGUAUUAAUUUUGGAAAUGUGAUUCUUUAUCAAAAUUCUUAAUUAUAUUGUUAAAAUCUCAAAUUUGAUGAAGCUAGAUGAAGAUGAAAAUUAAUUUAAUUUAUAAAAAUUUGAUAAUGGGUGAAUAUUAUAUUAGAUGAUUAAUUAAGAUUAAAUAAAGCUAAAUUAUAAUUUAAAUAAAUUUAAAAUAGAUGAACCAAGUUAGAUAAAUAUUGAUUUAUAGAUGAAUUUUUAUUCAAAGAUAUUUUUUAUUUAUAGAUUUUUUAAAUUUAUAGAUGAAUUUUUAUUUAUAAAUAAAAUAUUAUAAAAUAAUAAAUUUUUUGUGAUAAAAUAUGAAGAGGUAUAUUCUUAGAAUAAAAGUAAAAAUAUGUAAAGAUAAGAAAAUUAAAAUUGCUUGCCAAAAUGAACUUUUGGUUUGAAUUCUUAUAUUACCAAUCCAAUGUCUAAUCACAUGGACUUUUUGAUAUAAACAUACAAAUAACUAGCCUAAUCAAAAAUAUUCAAUUAAUAUAUGGAUACUUAUCUUAUUAAGCUACAUGAUGGCUUAGUAGGCUAUGGAAACUAAAUGAUAUUAUGACCAAUAAAUAGUAGCUGUAACUUGUCAACUAACAAAGUGGUGUCAACCAUCCAUUCUAUAUUAUAUCUAAUAAAAGUUAUAUGAUCUAUUAAUACUUCUAUUUAAUGACAUAUUAAACUAACUCAAUUUGAUGAUGUCCAUUAUUUCCUUGAAUUUAUAAUGUUUGUCACAAAUUAGUCCUUUAGUCAAAACAUCUGCAACCAUGUCUUAAGUCCUAUAAAAAACUAAGUUGAUGUUGCUACUUCCAAUCUUCUUACAAACAAACUAAUGUUGAAUUUCAACAUAUUUAGUAUGAGCAUAGAAUAUAGGGUUCUAAUAGCAAAUUAUUCUUACAUUACAAUCUUUCAUGCCAAAUCUUUUAAAGAUAUUUUCUACAAUUUUUUUUGAUUUAAGUAGAUUUUACAAAUCUUUCAGUUUUUCAUAAUGUGUAUAUCCAAAAUAUGUUGGAUUUCUUGUAAAUCCUUCAUUUCAAACCUCUCAGAUAAAUUUUUCUUUGUUUUUAAGGAAAAUUCUUUACUAUUAAACACAAGCAUUAAGUUAUUCAUAUAGACUGCAAUGAUGAUGAAGAAUCCAUCAAUUGUCUACAAUACAUAAAUACUAGGAUUGAUAUAGCUUCUUUUUAAACUUUAUGAGGCAAAAUAAUCAUCUAUCAUCUUGUAUCAUGUUCUAAGAGAUUUUUUGAGUCUAUAUAAAGCUUUAAUUAGUUUACACAUCAAUCAUUCUUCACCUUCUAAUAUAUAGUCUUUUAGUUGGUCUAUAUAUAUCUCUUCUUUAAGAUCUCUAUUCAAGAAUACUCUUUUGAUAUUUAUUUGAUGAACUUUCACAUCUUCAACUUCAACUAGUGCAAGAAGUAUACAUAUUAAGGUCAUUUUUGUCAUUGGAACAAAAGUCUCAUUGCAAUUAAUAUAUAUAUUUUUUGUGCAUAAACUUUUACAAUGAAUCUUGCUUUAUAGCACUUCUCUAAUCCAUUUAUAUUAUAUUCAAUUUUAAAAUCUAUUUGCAAACAAAUGAUUUUUUGUUUGCUGGUAAUAGUGUCAAAGUUCAAGUCUUGUUGUUAAUCAAACUUUGGUACUAUGAAUCCAUUGCUUCCUUUUACUUCUAAGCAUCAUCUUUUUUCAUAGAUUCAAUGAUAGUAGUUGAUUCUGUAGUGCUUAUGUAAAAAACAUGUGCCAUAUAUGCUGAAGAUAUGAAUGAUGUCAAAGAAAUCUAAGCCAAUGUUAAUUCAUUAGAUGCUUGCAUGUUGGCUUUAUAGAACCAUUUACAUUGAAAUGUAUCAAUUUCAAGAAUUUUGUUGCAUAAGUACCACUUUUUAUUAAAAAAAUAUCACAAUAUUAUUUUCUAUAAAUACACUUUUUAUAAAAUUUUAAUUUUGUGAUCUUACUUAUGUUUAGAUGAAUGAUCAUAUUACAUGUUUAUAGUUUCUUCAAGCCUAAAAUGAUAAAAUGACUAUAUUCUUGAUACCAAAGAUUAAGCUUGUUCAAAGUUUGUUUUAUCUUUAUAAUAAGGAAAAUACUUCUAUCUUCAUACAAAGAUCCUAAAAGCUUAUAUAAGCUAUUAUACCUAAUAUCUUUGAUGGUUUUAUUGUCUCAUUUCAUAAGACAUGUAUUAGUCUUGAAAUUGACUUUAUAACCUUCAUUUGUCAUUUUGCUAACAAAAAAAAAUUCUUAGCCAAUUAUUCAACAUAUGAGAUUUCAUGUAUAUCUUUUUCAACAUUUUUUGAAAAUUAGAAAAAGAUCUUACUCUUCUCUUUGAUUGAAAGUCUGAAAUCAUUGCUCAAAUAGAUUUUAGGGCCAUGUGAUAGAUUUUUGUAAUUUAAAAAUCAACUUUGAUUUUCUAUCAUGUGUUAAAAAGUACUAGAAUUGAUGUACCAUUUUUUGUUACUUUUGUCAUAGAUAAUGCAGCUAUAAAGACAAAUUCAUCUUCCUUUUGAUCUUUCUUGUCUAUUCUAUUAGCUUGCUUUUUUUGAAAAAUCUUCUUUAAUUUUUUUGACUUUAUGUCUUUUUCCUUGAUAUAACAUUCUUUUUCAUAGUGACCUUUUUUGCUAUAAUAUUUUUAUAUGGUAUCCUUUUUGUGAUCAUGUAAAGACCUUCUAUGAGUAUAAAUAUAAAAAAUGUGGCUUGGAUUUUUUUUUUACAGCCAAAAAGUAUACAUCAAAGGUUAAGUAAUUUUUUUUUUUAUUAAUUUCUUUCUUGUGCCAUGAUGCAUCCAACUUCUAAUUCUAAUUUCAAAUCUAAAUCUCUUCUCACUAAAAUGAUUAUAAUUUAUAUAAUUAUUAAUCUAAUUUAGGCAAAUUUUAGAUCAUUAAACUUAAUUUAAGUUAUAAUCUUUAAAUUGUCAAAGCAAAUAAAUAUUUUUUUAAAAAAUGAGAGCCAAACCAAAGAAAAAAAGUUGGCUGCUUAUUGCAACCAUUGUACUUAAAAUCGUCAUCUAUAAAUUAAUUUGAAUCUCCUUUGUCAUAUCUUUUCUUCUUAUAUGCUAAAAUUUAUUGAAAAAAUAAUAAAAAAUCUAGCUCCUUUCAAAUUCUUAAAUAAUAAGAAAGAAAAUACAAGAAAUAGUACAAAAAACUCCAGAUUAGUCUUGAAUCACACUAUUCAAAAAUUAUAGUGAUUGUCUUCUUACAAAUUCACAUAGAUCACCCUUGUUACAACUCUUAUUCUUGUAUGUUAGAUCUUAUUGAAAAGCUAACAAUAAGAUCUAUUUUCUUUCAAAAUUUAAAAAUAAAAACAUAAAAAUGUAAUAAAUGGCAUAGAAAAUCUCAAACUAAUCUUAAAUUUUGCCACCAAAAAACUCUAGCAAUUUUUCUCCUACAAAUUUUCAUAGAUUUCCUUCAUCACUACUUCUCUUCUUAAGUGUUAGAGAUUGUUGGAAAGCUUAUAAUAAGAUCUAUCUUCUUUCAAAAUUUCAAUAUGAAAAGAUGAAAAUUUAGUAAGUGGCAUCAAAAACCUUAAACCAAUCUUAAAACUUCAUACUCCAAAAUUCUAGCAAUUUACUCCUACACACUCCUAUCCAAGAAAAAAAAAAUUAUUAGAUGCCAAAAUCCUUAUUCUAAUCCUUUUCCAAUACUUGCCUUGAAUCUUUAUAGAGUCAAAUAUCUAUCUUAAAAGACUAUAUCUUCGAAGCUUGAAUAAUGUAUUGAAGCUAAUGUUCUCCUAUUCUAAAUCUUAUUUAAAAUUUUAGAUAUAUUAAUAUUAUAUUCCUUCUUUCUUAUAAAUAAAGUUAGUUAUUCUUUAAAUAUCUUUAAUGCACUUAAAUUAAGUGUAGCAUGAUAUUCAUCUCUUUCAAACCAAUAUAUAUUCUAAUAUGUGCCAAAGAAUUAGAUUAUAAUACUUUCAUCAUUAAAAUCAAAGUCAUUGUGAACCAUAUCACUUUUGAACUAUUGAUCAAAAUAUUGAGAUUCAAAAGCCUCUAAAUCCUCCAUAUAAUUCAUCCCAUCUUAUCGUUUGAAGACUUCAAUUGACUAUUUUGCAAUCUUAGUCUUCAAUGGUAUCCCAUCUAACUUUCAAAGAGAAUAAGUUGCAUUAUCAUAUACUUCAACCACCAUAGAGGGUCCAAAUCAAUGCCAUAUAAACUUACAAAGAAUAGAAUAUUAGUGCAUCAAAUUACUAUCAGAAAUUAAAAUCCAAUUAUUAUCUUUAAUUUGCUUAAGCCUCAAUUAAUGAAUUUUAUCAAACCUCUCUUUAUUGUUCAACCUUGCCACCUUAAGUCUCUCCAUAGCAACUUGAUGAUCCUCAAGCAAUUCCUUCAAUUGAAAAAUUUAAAGCUCCAACAAUCUUUCCAUCUCAAUGCUAUCUUUUUAAGAUAAAAAUAAUUAAAAAAGAAUAGACUCUUCUAUAGGCAAUAAAGGCUUUUACUUCAAUAUCAAUUCCAUUGACAUAUAACCAAUAAAUAUGCUAUAAGUAGUCAUAUUUGCCUAUAAAAUAAAUAACAAAAGUCUAAACUACAACCUUGUUUGAUCCUUACGUGUCUUGACUAAAGUUUAAAUAAUUGAGAGAUGUCAUCUAUCACUCUUAUUAUUGGCUUUGGAGUUAUAGAAGGUGGUCAACUUUAAUUUUAUUCUAUGUCUUAUGAAAAAAUCAUGUGCUUCUAUUAUAUAAAGCUUACUUUGAUUUGCUCUGAUUCUUUCAAUGAUUCUAUAGCAAUAUAUAAUAUCCUCCAAAAUAAAUCAAUAUAUUAUCUCUAUAGACUUUGACAUCAAUUUCCUUCUUUUUAUAUAAUUGAAAGUUCAUCUUUUGCCAAAAUUAAGUACUUUGUGCCUCAAAGCUUCAUUUAUAUAAUAACUAAAUCAAUCAUCUAUUAAAAAUAAAUAGUAAGUAGAUAGGUAGGACAUAAAACAUCUUUAUACCUCAUCUUGGAUUACAAUUGGUACUCUAUACAAGAACUUAUAAACUCCUCUACAUCCUUGUAUAAAGUCCUUCUACCAAUAGCACUUUUUGAUCUUGAUGUACAUAGCUCAAACACUUCUAUAUCCAAUAUGAAAGUAAAUUUUAUUCCUCAAUCCAAAUUAUAAGAUGGCCUCAAUUAAGAGUUGCUUAUAAUUGAUCAUGUAAAGUGAAAAUAAAAAAUAAUAAGAAUGAAAGAAGAAAAAACACAAAACAAAUGAAAUAAAUGAAAUCAAGCAAUUAUAUAAUUCAUAUCUUAAUCACAAUAUAUUCAUUAAGUUUUUAUUUAAUAAAAAGUAAAAAAUUAAAAAAAUAUUUUUAAAAAGAUAUUUUUUUUAUCUUUUAAAUGAUAUAAGAAAUAUGUAAAUCUAAAUUACUAUGAAUAAAUUAUAUAAGUUUAAAAAUAAUAAGUAAAUAAAUAAAAAAUUAAAUAAAAAUAUUUUACCUCAAAUAUAACUUAUUCAUAGAUUAAGAAUCUAAACCUCACUAAUACUUAUAUGUAAUAGAUAUAGGUAUUUAAAAGAAGUCACAAAGCCUUAGACUUAUUUUCUUAACUACCUUUAUGGUGCUACAACCCAUUUAGGACUUGUGCACCUCUUUUCUUAUAAGGACUACAUUAGUUGCUACUCCUCCUAUUUUCUAUUAGUAGAUCUAAUUUUUUUAUAUUUUUGACUUCACCAUGGUGUUUAAAAAUAUCCAAAUAGAAAAAUAGCCUAGUGUGGCCUUUAAAUCUUACUCCAUUUCUUCAUAAUGGCUCCCAAAGUAGUAAAACUAAUUUUUACUAAAGUCUUAAAUAUUACUCUAAAAAUUCUAAAUAAAUUUUAAAACUUCUUAUAAUAGUUUUAUAAUAUUAAUAUCAAUUUAAGAUUAUAAUUUCUUAUUUUUAAUUUUUUUAUAAUAAUAAAAUUAAUUUAAAUCUAUUAUAAAUCUUACUUUCCAUAUAAAUAAUUAAAAGAUAUGAAAUUCUUUUUCAUGCUUCUUCUAUCUAUUAACUAAUAUUUACAGUUUUUUAAUAAGUAAUACUUAUAGAUAGAAGGCCAAUAUAAAUUUUGAUCUUAACAAAUAAUCUUUAAUACUCAAUAAUAAGUAAAGAUACUAAAUUAACUAAGAUAAUUGUCUCCAAGACUUACUAAGACUCUAUUCUUACAACUAACAUUCUAAUUUUUUAUUUGCCUAAAGAUUUAUAUAUUAUUAACCAUAUAUUAUUUUUUAAGUAUUCUAAAUAUAUCUUUUUGUCUUAAAAUAACUAAUGAGUUGAUUUGAUGAUUUAUGUCUAAUCCACAAUGUAUUAAGAAACUCACUUAAUACCUUGUAUUUGAUCUUCAAAUCAUCCACUACUCUCAAUGAGACACCAUCUCUCUUCUUUGGUCUCUUCCACAAAAACCCAUUACGUAAAAGAUAAUUAUAAGAUUGGUGCCUAAUAUCCUUAAAGAUCUUAUUUAGUCAAUCUUCUUGCGGCUUCAUUAUGUUUAAAUACAAGCCAAUGUUUUUCAAGCUUCCUUCAUUUAAAUCAAUUCUAAAAGAUAGAAUCUCAUCACUUUGGUCUCUUCCAAUUUUAGAAAAUUCAAAGCCUUACAUCAAGUCUCCAUUUUCUUCUUAUGCAAGCAUUUCUUCUCCCUUAAGUACCUAGUUUUAAAUGACAUAUUUGCAAUCAAGUUUUUUUUGUCCAUGAUAUGUAUCAAAAUAAGAUUUAGAGACUUAAUAAAAGCAAUCUAUCUAAGCAUAGCAAUAUCUGGUGUAAUAAAAUUGAAAACCAUUCUAAGCAAAGACAAGAAAUUCAUCUCUAAUAUGACAUGAAUAUCUAUUAAGUAAUUUCUUUCAGCCUUCAAGUGCACCCUCAAAACCCUCUUUUCACUUGUAGAUAAGCUUGUUUCCUCUCAUUGAGAGUCCUUGCUCUAAACCUAAUUACAAAUCGGUUACUUUUCUUAUCAUCUUCUUCAAUAGCCCAUCCAAUGACUAUAGAACUUGUGUCAAUUGUCACUAUUAUUGAUCUUCUAUAAUUAUAGUCCACUUAUUUUAAUAUUAGUGAUAAUUUCAAAACCAUCUUUAAUUGAUUUAUAGCCAAUUCUUGCUCUUCAUCUUAUACAAACUUCUUUUUUUUUCAAUAAUCAAUACAAAGGCUCUAUAAUAUGAAUAUAAUGAAGAAUCUAUAUAUGAUAAAAUAUAUAAAUAUUUAAAAAUCUUCUUACAUUAGUAAUGCUUAUAUAUGCCUUCAUCCUUGUUGUGGUGUCUAUCUUAUUUAGAUUUGAUUUUCUUCUAUAGCUUCUAUAUAAAUUUUCAACUACCAUAAUUUGUUUAAAUCUAAAUGUAGACUUUUUAAGAAAUAAAUUAAGAUUUAUCUCUUCAAAUUUCUUCAAAAUAAUUUUUAUAUAUUUAAUGUAUACUUUUAUAAAUGUAUGGCAUCUAUCUUCUCUCAAAGUCAAAUUCUUAGCUUCUUCCUUGUAAUCCUUCAUUGAAACAUCAUCUAAAAAUGGUAUGAUUUUUUUCAUUAUAAACUCUCUUAAAAUUUGAUUCAUUACAUUUUGCAUAUGAGCUACCAAAUUAGUUGCAUCUUGUGACAAAGUACAUAUGCAUACUAGAUUCAAAAAAAUCUUUAUAGUAGUUAAGUUCCUACUCUCUUAUAUUAAUUAGAAUUGAUUAUAAUCCAAGUAUAAAUCUUGGCUAGAAUAAAUAAUAUGCAUUGUAGAAGCUUCUACUACUUUAUCUACCACAAGUCUUAACCUCAUAUUCUUAAUAGUCACCUUAUUGGCAAGUUGUAUGUCUUGAAUGAAUCUAAACACCUAGACUUUUUUGGCAAGGUGAACCAUCAAUCAAAAUAAGCUACAAUAGAUGGCUCAAAGAUAUCUACUUUAACCUUUUCUUUCAAAAAAUCUAUCAACUUAAGAAAUAAAGCCUUGAGCAUCAAAAUAGGUUUCAAGUUCCAAGGCACAUAUUAAAUGGUGAAAAUAACCAUAGGUGCUACUAUGCUAGGAUCUACACAACCAAUUUCUUUAGGUACAAAAGUAAAAACCUUACUAUGCUUAGAAAACAACUCUAGAAACUUCUCUCUUUCUUGGUUGAUAAAAAAAUCACCUCUUCCAAUCUUUAACUUGUCCAAAGAUUCAUUCAUAAACUUGUGAUUAAUCUUUCUUGAUUCCCUUAAUCUUGGCUCUAUGGUAGUUUGUUUGAUAUGCUCUUUGAUAUCUUGAGGUAAUUUGAUUGCUACAAGCUUCACCUUCUUGGCUACAAUUUUAUACUUAGUAUGUACCAUAGCUUCUUGUAGUAUCAUAUGACUAUGAACCACCUCAAGCCUCAUUGAAAUUCCAAAUUUUUUUCAUAUAUUUGCCUUAAAUAAAGUUCUAUACCAACAUUAACUCUACCUCCAUCCAUAUGCAAAUCCAAUUGUGAUCUAAAAUAAACCUCCAUUAGUUUAAAGUUUAUUUUAAUUUAUAAUAAUUAAAUUAAUUAUUUAAUUCUUAGAAAUUAUAGUUCUUAUUGAAUUUUUAAUCAAUUCAUUUUUAAUUCCUUAAAUCAUCCAAAGGAGAGUUAAAAUAACCUCUAUUACUUGGAUAAUUAUCUUAGUUCACCACAAUUGUAUUAACUAUCAAAAUUCACAAGUUAUAACUUUUAUUUAAAUUCUAAUUAAUCAUGCUUUAAUCUUCUUUAACAUUCAAGUAAUUAAGCUCAACUUCUAUUAGUAAUUCAUAUUUAUAUUAAUAACUAUUUGACAAAAUACAUAAUUAAAAAAUCUUUUUUUAACUCUGAAUUUAAUUCAAUCAAUUAAAUAAUUUUUUUUGUUGUUUUUUAUUUUUUUUUAUUUUUAAAAUUUCAUCUAUUAACAAAAGAUCAUUCAAGUAUAAUUUAUCAUCCUUGAAUAAUUUAUCAUCUAUCUUAGAAUUUCUUCCUUGAUUAAAUUUAUCAUCUAAUAUGCAAUACUUCAUAUCAAACCUUAAUUGAGUGCUUCUUUAAUCUGAAUCUUUUUAAAAACUUGAAUUUAUCUUCUAAAUUCAAUGCUGACAAGUCAAUGUUACAACAACUUUAGUGUGAUUAUUUGCCUUGGUAGCAAGGAAUGCCAUUUAGUCACUCCUACUGCCAAGACAAGUAUUUUGGAAGCUUUUUUAUAUUAAUUAGUGGCUAUUAAAAAACAAGAAAAGUCCUUAAUUUUAUUGGAUAUCACUUGUUAGUAUCUCAAUGUUCCUAUUUUCAUAGUAUUUUGAUCCUUUGCUACUCUAUUCUUUUUGAAAUUAUUAGAUUCUUUUAUCAUACAAAAAGUUGCUAAUAAAGUUCUAGUCUCAAUUUUAAAUGUUCCACCAACCUUUUUUUUUUUUAUUAAUUCCUUACAAAAUUUACUAAAAGAUAUUAUACUUUCAUUUCAAUUGUCGCUUAUCUUGAAUCAAAUUAUAGUCUACUAGACUAUGUAUUAUAAAUGAAUUCAUAUAAGUAAAUUGUGCAAAGAUGCUUAAUAAUUCAAUCAAUCUAGAAAUUAAACUAUAAUUGUAAUAGGGCAUGGAUAAGAUAUUUGUAUUGUUGAUGCAUAGAAAUAAGUAGUUGGAGCCAUUUUUGAGAAUUUUUUAGAAGUUUUUAGAAUUAAAGCUAGGUUGGUGGUCUAUAUAGGACCUAUUAUGGUACAUUCUAAAAAGACUUAAAGAGGUUAUCUAGAUAGAACCUAUCUCUAAAAUCAUCUAAAAAGGUGAUUAUUUAAGUAGGAUCUACUUUUAAAACCUUCUAAAAAGGAUAAUUAUCUUAGUAGAAUCUACCAUUAAGAAUAUUCUAAAAUAUUUUAAGAUAGUUAGACAAAGUAUAAAUAGGAGUGGCCAAUGCCAUUUGGAUAUUUAGUUAGGUAUAGUUUUGGUUCUUUUCUCUUAAGAAAGUUUGGUUUGUAUUUUUUUGUUCUAUUAUAUUCUCUUUUACUUUAUUUUACCUUUCAUGUUCAAUUUUAUUUAGUUCUAUUCAAUUUUAUUUUAGUCUAUUCUAUCCUACGUUGUAUUUUGAUAUAUAUUGCUAUAGAUUAGAGGGAUUUUAGAUCUUAGAAAAAAAUCAAUCCCAUUUCAACAAUACUUAAUUAUUAUGUGAGCAUAGUUUUUUUAAUUCUAAAAAAUACCAUUGAAUCUUAUUUUUUUUUUAAUUUUUAAAAUUUUUUUUUAAAUUUUUUUUAUCGCCAAACUUAUUUAAAAUACUCUAGUUUGAGGUCAUGACUUGAAACUCAAUGGAAUAUCAAUUUUUGGAAUUUCUUAAUACUAAAUGAUUUAUCUUUUUCAACUUCUUCUAUAUAAAUUGAUUCCUAGCCAAAAGAUGGAACCAAACAUAUGUUAUGCGUCAAUCAAAUAUAAAGUAAUUUCUUUAAUAAGAGUGAUCAACUGAAACAUUGCUUUGUUAUUAAUCUCUAGAUUGAAUCUAAAGAGUCAAAUAUCAUCAAAUUUACUAUUAGAUUGUUGUUAAUUGGACUUUGUAGUAUUGUUGCCAAAUCCAUGCUAUUGGUUAAAUUUGAAGGAGUAAUUACCUUCUACUUCAAUACUAAAUUCGAAACUUACUAGAGACAAAAUAUUUAAAUUGAAUUGCCUCCAAACAGCUUAGCUCUACUUAGUAAUUGAUUGCUCACCUACUCAACAACAACAGAGAAAGAAGGUAGACAAGCUACUGCUUAAUUGCUCCACUUUGACCACCAUAUACUAAUUAUAAAAAAAAUACCACAACAUAAAGUUACUAUAUAAUAGUAAAAAGAUGAAGAGUGACACACUUACUACACUACAACAAGUGUAGGGAAAAAGAAUAAAAAUAAAAUGACAAAGCCUUGUAGGGCUUCAUCCUUUGCAACAACUAUAUAUAUAAGAAAAAAACAAAAAAAACAUAGAAGUGAUGCACCACAUUACUUCCAUAAUAGAAAAGAGAACAAAAUCCAAUUCUAGAGUGCCGAAGCUUGUGAACCAUAAAGAGAAUAAAAAUAAAAGACAAGAGACCAUAGCACCACUUUAAUCAUUGCAACACAAAAGAAUACACAAAAAUUGAAAAUGCCAUAAGACAACAACAAUUCGAUCUUAGCCACAAUAUACUAAAAAAAAACCAUUGAAGACAAAAAAUAAAAAUAGCCACAGAGAUUCUUUUUUGUGACAAAAAAAAUAAUUUUUUUCUACAAUAACAUACAAAAUGUACUCACAACUUGAAAUUACAGCAUUUUUUUUUUUUUUUUUUUUUUUUUUUUUAAAUCUCAUAUUUCUUCACCUAAUCCUGAUAUAUAUAUGACCUAAGUCUCCAAUCUUUUGAAAUCUCAAAUCCUUCAAAGUUGUCAAAUCCAAAAAUCUACAUUCAAAGCUAUGUAUAUUGAAGAGUGUAUAAGUAAAAGAGUCACUUCUAUCCUUAUACCUCCAUGCUAUAGAGAUACUCUUUAGAAAUUUGAAAAUUCUUCAUUGGUCCUCAAAAGAGCUUCUAUCAAUUGGUCUUUAUUUUAUCCAUGAUCUAAUCUUAUAGUGAAGAAUUGCAUUAACUUUUUUCUAUUACAGUUCCUAAUCUUUGCAUAAUAAGAACCAUCAUUUAAAACCUUGGUUUCUAUCCUCGUAGCCAUGAUAUAAAGUUGUUCUAAAAUCUUAAGGUAAGUAGCAGAGUUAUGCAUAUAUUUUUUUUGCUCCAUCUCCAUAUCUCCAAUCCUUGUCUUAAUUCUUGGAUAUGCUUUAUAUAAAUCAUUUUGCUCAGUGUUGGCAGCCCUCAAUAUCCAUUUAUAAUUAAUAUCAAUGGACCACUUAUUCAUCUUGUAAUUCUUUUUUGAUAUUAUGUUGAUCUAUGAUCUAUGAUCAAUAAGUGCUAAGGUAUAUUUUUUCAGGUCUUUUAAUCUCAUUUGAACAUUGUUGAUAACCUUAGUUCAAACAAGAUGUGGAAAUUAAGCAUUCAUCUUCUCACCCUCAAACCUGUCAUAGAAAGUAAAAUUAGAUACAUUUACUUCACUUAUAUUUAUAUCAUGCUCCACCUCUUUGCUUCUUCUUGAUCUUCUUUGAUGUUUGCUUCUAUCAUAGCCUUGAGUAGUUAUUUUUUUAUUUUUUUAUUUUUUUUUAUUUUCUUUUAUUUAUUUUUUUAUUUUUCAAAUAGCAUCCUCUCAAAAUUAGGUACAUAAAGUUAGAAGAAGACUCAUCCUAUGUCUUGGUUUUCUUUUCUAUUUAAAUAAGAGCCUAAUGCCUUUACUAUAAUUGCCUCUACUAUCAUUUUUCUCUUCUUGUUGACAUCAAUGAUAAGCUCAUAGAAGUCUUUCUUUGCAAUGUCAAGUACUUCUUUUAAAAUAAACUCAAUUUUUAUAUCAAAAAUCUUUUUCUUUAAAAUUUCUUUUAUAUUAAUAGAGCUUUCAAUAUCCAAUUGAAGCUUAUAAGAAAGGCCCUUAUCUUUUGGCUUGUUUGAGUUUUCUUUCUCUUUGUCUUUUGUUCUACUGUUUGAAGUCCAACUUAACUUCUUCGUUGAGAUGAAGGCAAUAUUUGAGCUUAUAGAUAAAAAGACCCUUUUCUUUCUUGAGUAGAUUCUUUAAUCUUUAGUAGCCUCAUCUUAUUGAAGAAUUCUAGUAUAUCUUCUUGUUAGAACUUAGUCUUCUUUUCUUCCACAAUAGCAUCUUGAUCCUCCAAAUCCUUAUUAUUUUUCUUAGAUUGGAGUAGAUGUCACCAGAUUCAAUAAAAUGAUUGACAUCAUAUGUAAUAGAACUUCAUGCUUCAAAGUCGUUCUUCUUGCUUUCACCGACCACUACUUGGUCACCAAUAGCACUACAUAUUCUACUCUCUUAAUAAUUAUUUAAAUCUUCUUCAAUGGACUUAUGAAUUAAAAAUAAUAAAAACAUAUCUUCUAAUGCUUUAUCAAUUGCUUACAAAAAGAGCUUGGUCUUCAUAAUACUUAAUAAAAGUCUCUUUAAAGAUGAAAGUAAAGAAAAUUUUCUCUCAAAUUUCCUAAGUAAUUUGCUUGGGGCCAUAGACCUCCUUAGUUGUUACUCAAUCCACUCCAAAAAUAAAUUUUUAGUGAUUCUAUCAAAAUCUUCAUCAUAUAAUUUAUCCUUGAACCUCCCUUCAAAGUCAAUCUAAAUCUUUAAAUCAUCUUUAUGUAAAUUCUUCAUCCUCAUUCUAAUUUCAAGAAUGCAUGCUAAUUCAAAAUUAGGAAUAUAGUGAGACUUAGGAACUUAAUAUACCUCCAUCUCUCUUAUAUAUGUGCACAAAAACUUAGUAAUGUUGCUUCCAUCAAACCUCCUCUGGUUGUUAACCAUGCCUUAUAAUGCUUUCAUCAUCUUUUUUUUUAUUUUCUUGUACCUUUUUUUAUCUCUAUAUGAACAUGUCAAAGCCAAGAAUAAAUCAUUAGCACUUGCUACCUUAGUGACACUUAUAUUGGCUCCUCUAAAAUCAUCCAUCAUCUAUAAAUAUAAAAAAUUUCUUACUUCUCCUUUUAAACUCUUAAAUUCUUUUUCAUGCUCUAAGCUUGUACCUCAGCUCUAAAAAUCCAUUGUGCUCUACUUAUACUCUAAAUUGCCUCAAGGAUGCUCUCAAUAGAAAUACCAAAUUUAUAUUUAAAAAACAAGCCUUUUUAGGAGAACAUAAAAUCUUUGAUUGCAAGUAGAUUAUAAGAAGCACAAUAUUAUCCAAACAAAUUUAAAUAAAAAAUAAUAGUCCAAAGGCUAAAUACAAAUUUUAUAUUAAUUUCUUUCUCGUAUUAAGAGGCAUCUAACCUCCAACUCUAAUCUCAAACCUAAGCCUCUCCUUACUAAAAUACCUAUAACUCAUAGAUUAAAUAUCUAAUUUAAUCUAAGAAAAUUUUGGCUCAUUGAACUUAGGUUAAGUUAUAAACUUCAAAUUUUUAAAGUUAAUAAAUAAUUUUUUUUAAAAUGAGAGGAAAACUAAAGAAAAAAAUUUGGCCGCUUGUUGUAGCCACUAUCUUCAAAAUCCCUGUCUAUAAAUUAGCUUGAAUCUUCUUUGUCACAUCUCUUCUUCUUGUAUACUAAUUUUUUUUGAAAAACUAACAAAAAAAAUUCAACUUCUUUUAAAAUAUUAAAUCAAUAAAAUAAAAAAAUAAAAAAAUAUAAGAGAAUCUUAAAUUUUUUUUAUAUAAUAUUGUCCAAAAACUCUAAUAUCUCCUUUUAUACAAACUUACAUGGAUCUUCCUUGUCACAACUUUUCUUAUUGCAUGCUAAAGCUUGUUCAAAAGCUGACAAUAAGAUCCACUUUUCUUUAAAAUUUCAAAACAAAAAGAUAAAAAUGCAAUAAAUGGCAUAAAAUACUCCAAACCAAUCAUGAAUCAUGUAACUCAAAAACUCCAAUGAUCCUUCUUUUACAAAUUUACAUGGAUCUUCUUUAUCAUAGCUACUCUUCUUGCAUACUAGAACUUAUUGGAAAGCUAACAAUAAGCUUAGUUUCUUUCAAAAUUUCAAUAUAAAAAGUUAAAAAUUUUGUAAGUGACAUCAAAAAUUCCAAAUCAGUCUUGAAACUUUUUUCCUCCAAAAUUCUAAUGACUCCCUCCUACACUCCUAUCCAUAAAAAAAGAAAAAAAAUUCUACUUGAUGCUAAAAAUUUUAUUUUAAUUUUCUUCCAAUACCUGCCUUGAAUGAUUAUAGAGUCAAAUAUCUAUCUUAAAAGACAAUAUUCUAAAAGCUUGAAUGAUCAAUUUAAGCUAAUAAUCUCUAUUUUAAAUUCUAUUAUAAUUUAUAAAUAUAUUAACAUUAUAUUCUUUCUCUCUUAUAAGUAAAAUUAAUUAUCUUUUUAUUAUUUUUAAUAUACUUAAAUUAAGUGCAUCACAACUCUGCAGUCUAAAACUUGUGAAUUAAGUUCAAUAAGCUUGACAUAUUUUUAAUCUCAUACAUUUCUUUCAAAGUAUUCUAUGUAGUCUCUACACUUAUUGUUUUGCUUUUUUUCAUGAAUUUUGAACCAUAAAGAUGUUGACAAAUUGCAAAUAAUGUCUGCUUGUCUAUAUCUUUCUAUAUUUUUAACUCCAUUAGAUCUACAAGUGACCUAUUGGAUUUCUUAUAUUUUUCUUAUAUAAUAUUUUUUUAAUUCCUUAUUGAUUAAAAUAUAUCUAAUUCUAUCCUCCCAAAGGUGCCAAUUAUUCUUGAUAAAUUUUUCUAUGAGAUGAUACUGUCAAGGACAUGAAUCUCAAAGAAAAAAAAUUCUUAGUACAUUCUUGUGUCACUAAAGAGAAUAAAAAAGUCACUCAAAAGGUGAUGUAAUAUUAAACUAGAAUAGCUAUUGCUAAAAACAAGAAGAUUAGAAGGGCUUGAAGCAAGAUUAAAGACUAGAAAGGCAUUGACAAGAGUGAAGAAGGCUUCACUCUUGCCUCUAUAUAUACUCUCUAAUUAAGAGCUAUGUGGCAAUAUUCUAUAGGACCUCUAACAUGUGUUGACUUUGCUAGCCACAUGUCUUAACUUGCAAGGCAAGUUAUCAAUGUAUGUGCUACAUAAUUAGCUUAUUUUAUAAGCUAUUAUACAAAGUUAACUUGUUCUAUAAGCUACCAACAUGUAGUUAAUUUUUUGAUCAAGUUUCUAACUUACAAAUACAUCUAAAGUCAAAACCACAUAUGUAAAGCUUUUAGGAAGCUAUUCUAAAAGACUUUAUGAAAUUAAUCUAUAUUUAUCUAUUUCUAGUUAAUCAUAUAAAUAAUUAUUGGAAUAAAUAUAUGUAUGUUUGUGAUAUUUCCUCCCGGUCUAAGAACGAGUUCCAUGAGGAGCAGUCUUCAUAUAUUGAAAAAGUUCAAAAUGCAACAAAUUAUAUUUGUCACAUACUCUAAUCUUUGCUUUCUUUGAAGAUGGUUGAUAGGCCCUCUUAGGCAUCAAUAGUGUCCUAUAUCAAGGCAAAAAGACCACCUUGUUAUUUGGUCGUUGUUCAGGCCUUUGUAACUUCCUUCAAAUAAAACAUUUGGAACACCGUCAAUAAUUGUUCUUACUUCUAAUAAAAUCACCAAACAUUGGAAGUCUCUUCUAAGGUCGUGAUAUCAAACAUGUUAUAUCUCACCAUGUAUUUGAGAAAAGAUAUGUCAUUCUUCAUGAUCUUCAUCUCGAUUUUUUCAACUUGAAGAUUGUGAUAAUUGCAAUGUCUCAUGUGAUAAGUCUGCAAAUAAAAGCUCUUAAGUUGAAUCUGCUAGUUGUUGGUUUUCUAUCUCCCAAGUAUCACAAAUACACAAAAGCUACAAAGAAAGAUAAAAGGUAGAGUAUUAUCUUUUUUUGAUCUUAUUUCUUUUAAAGUAAAGAUUUACUAUUCUUCAUCUUCAUUUUGAUAGAUGUCGUUGAUGAAAAGCUUAUUCUUUCUUUGUUGUAUUUAUAAGAUUCUUUGAUGGUUCCCAUGUACAUUCAUUAAAAUCAUAUCCAUGCCAAUCAACAAGAUAUUCCAACUUAGUUCAAUACUGCCUUGAAUCUAAGACUUUUUUCACUUCAAACUCUUGAUUAUUAUCUACUUCUAUAGAAAGAUGUGGCAAUUAUCAUCUUCUCAAGAUAUACACUAUCUUAUACGACUAAAAAAGGGACAUGUGAAAUACAUGGUGGAUCUUCAUAGAUCCUGGUAGAUGUAAUCGAUAUCAAUAUAAUUAAUUUGUUCACAAAUAGAAAAAGGUCCCAGCCUACGAUAGUCCAAUUUAUUACAAGCAUGAGUAGUCUUGAUAUUGCGAUGAAAUAACCAUACCAUGCCACCUAUAUUGAAUUGUGGCUGCUCUUUGCAAUAGGCAUCUACGUUGGUAUUUUGAUGUCUUUGAGCUUCUUUUAAUUAUAUCUUCAUUGUUGCAUAUAGCUCUGACAAAUGAUUUGUUAAAUCUUUUGUUGCAGGAUUAUCAACUUUUGAAAAGUCAAAACUAUCAAAACUGAGAUGAUAAUCAUAAUUGGCAAAGAAAGGUAUUUGUUGAGUAGAAGAAUGUAAGGAAUUAUUCUAUGCAAACUCUAUCAAUGGCAAAAGAGUUGUCCAAUCAUCUUGAUGAUAGUUGAUGGUACAUUUCAAAUAUUGCUCCAAAACUUGAUUCAUCCAUUCCAUUUGCCUAUCAAUUUGAGGAUGAAAAGCCAAUGAAUUCUUUAUAUCCACCUUUAGAAUCUUGAAUAGGAUUUUUUAGAAUCAUGAUACAAAUUGAAUCCUCAUAUCUAAUAUAAUAUCUUUUGACAAUCCAUGAUAGCGAUAGAUAUUGUCAAUAAAAAGCUUAGGUGUUUCUUCACCUAAAAUAGAUUUUAUAUAUAGUAUAAAAUGUGUCAUUUUGAUGAAGCAAUCUAUAAUUAUGAAUAUAGAAUCAUAUGAACAUGAGAUUGAAAGAUUUGUGUUAAAAUCCAUAGAAACGGAAGACCAUAAUUGUUCCAAAAUUGGUAAUGGUUGAAAAAGUCCAUAAGGUCAAUGGUGAGGAAUUUUGGAUCUUAAACAAGUAUUGCAUGUUUGUACAAAGUCUUUGACUGCCUUCAACAUUUAAAGCCAUUAAAAAUCUCUUGAUAUUAGCUCCAAAGUCUUGUUGUAUCCAAAAUAUCUAACUGCUAGAAAAUCAUGACAAGCUUAAAGGAUACGUAAUUGUACCUUGCCUUUUGGAAUAUAUAGACAAUCUUUAAAAUAUUGUAAAUUAUUUUUGAAUUAAAAAUUUGAAGUAUCAUAGGAUUUAGAAGAAGUAUUCUUGAUAUCAUGAACAAGAGGAUUAGAGGGCAUACUUGAUUGAAUUUGCUUGACAAAGAUUGAAUCAAUAAUCAAUAUUAAUUUUAUUGCUUGAAGAUGAAAAUGCUCGAACUUCAAGAAAAUUAUUCUUUAUUGAUCAAAAGAUGCAACUCCUUCUUUUGAUGUAAGGUAAAAACGUCUAUAAAGGGCAUCUAAUAGAUCUUGUUAUUUUUUGGAUCAAUAAGAGAUCUUGAAAUUGAAUCUGAAUAAAGACAUUAUGAAAUUAACUAGUAGUAUAAGAACUCAAAUCAAAAGCUCAUUUUAAAAAGCUAUUCUAGAAGAAUUUAUGAAAUUAAUCUAUAUUUAUCUACUAACUAAUUAUAUAAGUGAUUAUUGGAAUAAAUAUAUAUAUCCAUGAUAGAUAUUCUAUUAUUAUGAUAUAAUAAAUAUACUAAAAAUAAAAUAAAUGAUAGUACUAAGAAAAAAAUUAGAAGAGGUAAAAUUAGGAUCAAAAUAAGGCUCAAUAUCUUUUUAUAUAGCCUUUUAUUUGAUAAUUAAUAGAAAUUCUAAGUAUUUUCUAUAAUUAUGGUGCCAUCAAUACUUUCAAAAAAAUUCAAGUUAAAAUUUUUAAAAUUGAUUAAGACAUAUCAAUUUUAACAAAUAUAUAUCUAAUUUAAAUCAAAAAACUUAACUUGCAAAUCUUCUUAGAGUCCUUAGACUUGUUGGUCUCCAUAGAGUUCCUAAAUUCCUUCAAGCUAAAUGUUUGAAGUCUCAAUCUUCAUUUCAAAACUCUUAAUUGGCCAAUUUAACUCCCUAUUCUUGAAAAGAUGAUUUCAACUAUGCAUUCUUGGCAACCUAUUCUAAUAAGAUAAUAUCAACUAUCCUUUCUCAAUAGUUGAUAAAGAUUGUGUAUUUCUAAUAGCCCAUUCUUGAUUGCAUGUUUUUUAUUGCUUUGAAGUUCCAUAUAGACUGAGGCCUAUGUUUAUAGAGGUUGUAGAGUAUGGAUAGAGUUUCUUAAAGCUCCAACAUCCUUUUCUUGAUCUUUUUUAUUUCUUAUGUUGCUUCUAAUAAGAACUACAGAAAGUAAAUUAAACUUCCUCAGAGAUGAUCAAAAGACCACGUUCUACAAAACAACUUCUUAUAUAUAUUCAAUCUUUAAAGAACAAUUCAAAUACACCAAUCUUUGAUACCAUGUAGUAAAAUAUGAGGAAGAAAUAUAUUGUUAGAAUAGAAGUACAAAUAUGUGAAGAUAGGAGAACUAAAAUUGCUUGCCAAAAUGAACUUUUGAUUUGAGUUCUUAUACUACUAGUUCAAUGUCUAAUCACAUGGACUUUCUAGUAUAAAUAUGCAAACAACUAGUUUAGUUAAUAAUAUCCAAUUAAUAUGUGGAUACUUCUCUUAUUAUGCUAAAUGAUGGCUUGAUAGGCUAUGGUAACUUAAUAAUAUUACCACCAACAAAUGGUAGCUACAACUUGUUAAUUGACAAAGUGGUGUCAAUUGUCUAUUCUACAUUAUAUCUAAUAAGAAUAAUACAUUCUAUUAGUAUUUUCUUCAAUAAAUAAUAACUUCUAAGAAUUAAUUAAUUUUUUAUAAAUAAUCUUAUUUAUUUAUUUAUUUAUUUAUUUUUAUAAUAAUUAAGUUAAAUUAAAGAAAUUAAUGGAUAUUUUGAAGGACUUAUGGUAUAAUUAUAAGUAAUUAUAAUACUUAAAUUAAUAUAAUUAUUUAUAAGAAUUUCUAAAACAUCAUUAAAAUAAUAUUAUUUAAGACAUAAAGAUAUCUAAAAUGAUUCAAUUAUCUAUUAUCUAUGACUAAUCAAAGUGCAUAAUUUUUAAAGAAUAAUAAAAAAUCAAGAUUUACAUAGUGACUUCUCUAUUGAACAAACUUUACUAAUAUAAUGUUUUUUUUUGAAGCAAAUCAAUAUUAUAGGCAACCUAUAAACUUAUAUCUAUCAAGCAAAGAAUUUCUUAAGCUAAGAAAGUACAAGUAAUUUUUAUACAAACAAUACUUAUUUCAAAAGUAGCACAAAUAAAAAAGUUAAAAAAAUAAUUUAUAUAUAUAUAUAUAUAUAUAUAUAUAUGAGAUACAAAGAAAUUGGCAACGAUACAAAUGUAAGAUCUAAAGAAAUUAAAAGUAGUGUAAAUUUGAAAUCUAAGAUAAUUAAAAGUAACUUAGAUUUAAAAAUUGCUAUAAAUCUAAAAUAUAAUAUAAUUAUUACUAUUUUAAUAUAGGACUUAUUAUAAAUACAUUAAAAAAAUCAAAAGCUCUUCAAGUAAUUCAAAGUAUUACUCAAAUCCUUAGCAAAGUCAUUUAUAAAAUGCAUGCACUCAUUAUACACCUCAAUCUCAAAAAGUAGUAAAAUAUAGCUCCAAAAUAAGGAAACUUUGUGUAAAUAAGAAGACUUUACUUCUUGAAUUCAAGGAAGUUGUAUAAAUACAUAGACGGAUCAGUUCUAUACUUUUGCAUUAUCAACUUUUUAGGCAAAUGAUUAAAAUAAAAUAAAAAAGAAUUCAAAGCACAAAUGUAGAUUGUCAUGAAUGUCAAAUCUUUGAAAAAAACCACAUCUAAAAAUAUAACACUUUGGAAGAAAUGUAAGUAAAAUAAUAUAUAUAUAUAUAUAUAUAUAUAUAUAAACUAUUAAAGAUUAAUUUUUUAAUUUUUCUAACAUAAAUAGGAUAAAAAAAACUAGUUUUUUAUUUUAUUUUAUUUUAUUAUUCUAUAUUCUAACUUUUUAGAUAAUUUAAGAUAAAAAAAGAUUUUUAAGCACCUUUAAAAAAACCUUAAAAAUAGAUAGAUUAUUACAAUCCAUUUUUAUAGGAGGUGGUAGUAUUUGUUUUUUUUCCAAGAUAUUCAUUGUCUUAUAUGAUUUUAAAAGAGAUACAUGAAAUACGGGAUGGAUUUUCAUAGACUCCGGUAGAUAUAAUUGAUAAAUGACUAGAUUGAUGUAUUCACAAAUAGGAAAUGGUCCAAGUCUACAAUAAUUCAACUUGUUACAAGAACAAAUAGUUUUCAUAUUGUGACAAAGUAACCAUACCUUAUUAUCAAUAUGGAAAUGAUGUUGUUCUUGUAAUAAGCAUCUUUGUUGAUCUUUUGUUAUUCUUGAGCCUCUUUUAGUUGCACCUUUAUUAUUAUAUAUAGCUUAAAUAAAUGAUUUGUCAAAUCUUCUACUGUAGAAUUAUCAACUUUUAAAAAGUUGAAAGUAUUAAGUUAUAGAUGAUAUCUAUAAUUAAUAAAAAAAAAUAGGUAUUUUUUGCAUAGAAGAAUUUAUUAUGUUAUUAUAAGCAAACUUUGUCAAUAGCAAAAGAAUUGUUUAAUCAUCUUGUUGAUAAUUGAUGGUACAUCUCAAAUAUUGCUACAAAACUUGAUUUACAUGCUCUGUUUAUCUAUCAAUUUGAGGAUAGAAAGCUAAAAAAAUUUAAUAUCUAUUUUUAGAAUAUUAAAAAGUAUUUUCUAAAAUCUUAAUAUAAACUGAGUUUUUCUAUCUAAUGUAAUAUCUUUAGGCAAUCCAUGAUAGCAAUAGAUAUUAUCAAGGAAAAACUUGGUUGUUUCUUCACUUGUGAUAGUUUUUAUACAUGGUACAAAAUGUGCCAUCUUAGUAAAAUAAUCUACUAUCACAAAUAUAGAAUCAUAAGAACUUGAGACUAAAAGAUCUGUGAUAAAAUCUAUAGAAACAUAAGACCAUGGUUGUUUUGGAAUGAAUAAAGGUUGGAAAAGUCCAUACAAUCGAUGAUGAAGAAUUUUUGACCUUGAACAAAUAUCACAUGACUGGACAAAGUCUUUCAUUAUCUUCUACAUUUGUGGCCACCAAAAAUUUUUAAAUAUAAGUUUUAAAAGUUGGUUGUAUCCAAAAUGUCUGAUUGCUAGAAAAUCAUGACAUACUUAAAAAGUACAUAAAAAUAUAUAUAUUUUUUGGAAUGUAUAAGCACCCUUCAAAAUUGAGUAGAUUAUUUUUAAACUUGAAUUUGGAAGGAUCAUGAGAUUCAGAAGAUACGUUCUUAAUAUCAUAAAUAAGACAAUCAUAAGAUAUACUUGGUUGAAUUUUCUUCACAAGGUUUGAAUCAAUAAUUAAUGUUGAUUUUAUUGCUCAAAGAUAAAAGUACUUUGGCUUAAAGAGAAUCAUUUUUUGUUACUAAAAAGAUAUGCCUUGUUCUUUUGGUGUAAGAUAAGGAUAUUUAAAAAAGGUGUUUGACAAACCUUAUUAUUUUUUGAAUCAAUAAGUGAUCUUAAAAUCAAAUCUUGACAAAGUCAGGCUCCAACAGGCUUGGUGGCAAUUCAAAAUAUGUGCUGAUAUAAAAUAUUUAAGAUUCUUAUAGUUAAUAUAAAAAAUGACUAGAUUAGAAGUGCCUUCUAGAUGAUGAUGCUAUUUUAAAAAUAAGUUGAAAAUUACAAAAAGCUCUUUGUUGUGAAUCUUGUAGUUGAUCUCGGUUCUUAAAAAUUUUCUUGAAUGAAAAGCUAUUGGAUAAAACUUAUCAUCUGUCUCAUUUGUAAUAAUACAAAAUCCAAAGCAAAGUUUGAUGCAUUUUUUUCUAUAAAAAAUUGCUUAAAAAAGUUGACGUGAUAUAAGAUAGAUGCAAAAAUAAAGGUUAUCUUUAAAGUUUCAAAUACUACUUUUGCUUCUUGAUUCUAUUGAAUUUUGCCUUUAUAAGUCAAACGUGUAAGUGGAGCUACAAUCUAAGAAAAUUUCUUGAUGAAGAUAUGGUAGUAGUUGACAAAUUCUAAAAAAUAUUAGACAUCUCUUAUUAUUUUUGGGAUCUUUCAAUCUAUAAUAGUUUGAUUUUUUUAAGAUCUAUUAUAAAUCCAUCAUUUGAAAUGAUGUAUCUUAAAAAAUUGACUUGAGUAGUGUGAAAUAUUCACUUUUUUUUAUCUUGGCAUAGAAUCUCACAUCUUUUAGUUUUUGUAACAUACUAAUUUUUAUGUUUUUAGAAUAGAUUAAAAUAUUUUUUAGAUAACAAACAAUAAAAUUACUUAAAAAUUCUCAAAAAAUAUCAUUCAUUAGAUGUUGAAAAGAUGUUGAUACAUUUGUAAGUCUAAAAGGCAUGAUAUUGUAUUCAAAAUAUCCAUAUCUUGUUUAAAAAGUAAUAUUUUAUUAAUCUCGUUCUUUGAUGCAUAUUAGAUUGUAUGCUCUUUAUAGAUCUAUUUUUGUAUAGAUCUUAAUUUGAUUCAAUUGGUUAAGGAGUCUAGGUAUCAAAGGUAGUAGGUACUUAUUUUUGAUAGUCAUUUUGUUGAGUUUUUAAUAAUCAAUACACAUUUGCAAUGUUCUAUCUUUUUUCUUCAUAAAUAAAAUUGGAGCUCCUGUUAGAGAUUUGGAAUAGAGUAUGAAGUUCUUGGCUAGAUUUUCUUUAAUAUAUUCUUUGAAUUCAGCUAAUUUAUUUUAUGAUAAACUAUAAAUUGGUCUAAAUAUGGCUUGAACUUAUUCCUGAAGGUCAAUUGAACAGUCAUAGGAACGAUGUUCUGGUAGUGUACAUCUUGAAAAUAUAUAUUUAAAAUCUUGAUAUUGACUUGGAAUGCUACUUGAAGUCUUUUAACUAUUAGAAAUAGAUACAACAUAAAUGACAGAAGGUAAUCCUUCUUUUGCAAUAUGCAAGAAAGCUCUUCCACCUACAAAUAUAAAUUUAAUUAUAUUAGAUUUAUGAAUUUCUACUUGAUGAAUCAUACUCUUAGUUAUACUUUAAAAAAAUUUAAGUCUACAAGAAAUCUAAUCUAUUUUUGGAUUAUAUUUUUUUUAGCCAUGAUAGACCUAAAAUGAUUGGAUUAAAAAGAAAUCUAAUGAUAUUAAAUAUUACAAAGCUACUAUGACCAUUAGUUGUUAUUCUAUAAGAAGAAUUUCAUGAGUAAUAUUUCUUAAAGACAAUAGACGACUAUCUAUGACUUCUACAUGAACAAAUUUAAUUUUCUUCAUUAAAGAUAUGCUUUAUCUUUAAGCAAAUUCUUCAUCUAAAAAAUAUGCUAAGACUCUUGAGUCUAACAAGAAAAAGGCUUUGUAAUACUUAGUUCUUUAAAUAAUAUUUAUUAUAAAACAAAGAAAGGAUUUUGAGAAAAGAAUAGAACCUUCAUUAGGUGUUGUAUAAAGUUCCAACCGCACAGUCUCUAUUGUAGCUAAACAAACUUGUUUUCUGAUAUAUUAUCUUCUUUGAUAAUUGUAUUCCUCAUUUUGUAGUUGCAUCAUUUCUUUUGAUAAUAUUAAACAAUAUAUUUAGAUUCUCUAUAAUACAAGCACAAUCCUUCUUGACAUCAAUGAUUCUUUUCUUGCUUAGUAAGAAGUUUAAAAUGUACCACAUUAAUUUAUAUAUCCUCUACUUUCAAAUAUUUUUGUUGAAAAGACGUUGGCAUUGUCAUUGAAUUAUAGUAGUAUUGAGGUAAACUUGUACGACUUUCAAAUCAAAAUUCAAAAAAUUGAUGGUCACACCUCAAAGCAAAUUCAAUUGCUUGACUCAAUGUUUGGAGAUUAAAUAAGUUGAGCAUCAAUAUUUUUUACUUCAUAUUAUAAUCUAUAGAAAAAUUAGAUAAUAAGUAUAGCAUCAUUUUACUUCAUAUCACUUAUAAGUUGUCAAAACUAUAAAGCAUAUAACGUUAUUAAUUGAUUAUCUUAUCUUAAAAUAUGAAUCUUAUUGGUUGCAACACAAAUUACAUCAUAUUUUCCAUACAUGGAUCAAAAACUCUAUAAAAAAAAACCUUCAAAUUAUUCAAUAUUAGAUCUUAUUAUUUAAUAAAAAAUAAAAAACCAUAAUAAUGCUAAACUUGAAAAGAAUGUAUUAAUAAAUCUAACUUGUGAUCCUAGGAUUGAGUAACUUUAGAGUUGAAGUUCAAUGACAAAUUAUACUUGAUUAAUAAAUCUUUGAAAUUUGGCUCUUGUCCCAUCAAACUUCUUAGAUAGUGCAAUCUUUGAUUCUUUAAUACUAGAAGGAUGUUCUAUUAUAAGAAAAAAAUAUGAUUUUAGUACACAUCUUGAAGCAGAUCUAAUCAUUUUUGUAUUUUUACUCCAUGCCAUUAUUUUUGCUCUUUGUAGUAAUAAAUUGAGUUAAUAAAUUGCAAGCAUUAAUUCCUUCAAUUGCUCUUAUAUUUAUACAAUUACACUCUUUAUUUCAAAAAUCUUUACUAUGAUAAUACUUUUAAAAAAAAAAGAUGUCUAAUAUCACAUAAAACAAAUAAAAGAGAAGACUUGAAAAUAAAGAAAAAAUGCUAAAAAUAAUAUCAAUUAAGAAGAGGAUAAUUUGUAACUCCUAUUGAGCUGAAGUCUUAUUAAGAAAAAGCCGUAAUCCAUUUUCAAUCAAGAAAAGACAAAGCUCUAAUAUUGUAAAUAUACUCUUACCAAUCUAUUAACGACAAGAAUUCAAUGAAAGUAAAUAAAUAAGUGAGGUUUUUUCAAAAAAAAAAAAAAACAUAGAAAUAAAUAAAAAAGUAUAUUAAAAAAAAUUAAAAAAAAAAAUUGGAAUGGCUAUUGCUAAAAGACAACAAAACUAAAAAUUCUUAAAACUAAAUUAAAAAUAGAAAAGAAAUUGACAAGAAUAAAUAAUGCUUUAUUCUUGCGUCUAUAUAACCUACAUACCUAAGAUCUAUGUGGCAACGUUCUAUAAGACCUCCAAAAACGUGUUGACUUUGCAUGACAUAUAUCUUAACUUACAAGUCAAGUUUUCUAUAUAGGCACAACAUAGUUAGCUUGUUCUAUAAGCUACCAAUACAUGUAGCAUGUAGUUAGCUUGUUUACUAAGUUUUUAAUCUAUCAAUCAACUACAAAUACAUGUAAAGUCAAAAUAGCAUCUACAAAGCUUCUAAGAAGCUUUUUUAAAAGGUACUAUGAAAUUAAUCUACUUUUACUUACUACUAUCUAUUCAUAUUAUCUAGGAAAGAAUUACAAUAGAUAUAUAUUUUUGACACAUUGUGGAAAAAGCCAAAGGUAUUGAAUUCUAUAAGAAAAAUAUGAAGAAUUCAUACAAAAUAAUUAUAAUCUUCUAAUUAAAAUACUAUUUUUUUUUUUUAUGCAAAUCAACACAUUGAGAUUAAUUCAAAUGAUGUUUUACAAGCCAUAAAUAUCUUCUAAGAAGGAAUGAAAGCAUGUAAUAGAAAAGAAUCUUGAUUUAUUUUAACUUGGUAUAUAAGAAUUUCUUGCAUUAUCUAAUGGCCAAAAAUCAAUCAACUUAAAAUAAGGCUUUUGGAAGAAGUUUGCUAGCUAUAGAUCUAUGAACCAGCUUAAGAUAUAAUUAGUAGCAAAAAAUUAUUCAUAGAUAAAAUACAUUGAUUACCAUAAGAUAUUUAUAUAUGUGAUGUAUAUUAUGAUAAUUUAUAUUCUUAUUGUGAUUAUUGCCACAUUAAAAUAGAAUAUAUUACAAACUAAAUAUGUCUUAGCUUAUCUAAAUGGUGAAUUGAAAAAAUAUAUAUUUACAUAAAGAAUCCAAAGAAUUUGGACAUUCCAUCUAAAUAUAAGAACAAGCUAUUAUACUUAUUUGUAUGGCUUAAAUAAGUCAAAAGAUAAUGGAAUAUAAAUUUAGAUGUCUUUCAUAUAGAUCUUAGUUAGAAUUUAAUUAUUGCUUAUAUAUAAUAUAUAAUGGUGAUUUAGUGCUUAUAAUCAUCAUUUAUAUCAAAAAAAUAUUAACUAGACAUAAGUUUUUUAAGAUCUUUAUGACAUACAAUGAAAAGUUGUAAAAACAAUAUAUGAAAGACCUUGGUGAAUUCAAUUACUUUUUAAGCAUUAAAUUUUCUAUAAAACAAAGAGGUUAGUCCUAUAUCAUUAAAUCAAACAAAAUAUAUGACUUCAAACUUAAUAAAUCUGGAAUAGAUAAUACAAAGUCAAAUACAACUUCAAUGAAAAAAAAGACAUUUUAUUAGACAUCAAUAUAAUAAAUAAAUGGAUGAAGAUGGAAUAAAACUUUACUAAAGAGUGUUAAGGAUAAGAACUUGAUGAAAGCAAAUAAAUAAGUGAGACUCUUUUAAAGAAAUAUGACAAAAUAGAAAUAGAGAAGUAUGUAUAUUAAAAUGAAAAUUAGAAUGGCUAUUUCCAAAAGACAAGGAAAUUAGAGACUCUUGAAACUAGACUAGAAGCAAGAAAGAAAUUUACAAGAGUGAAGAAGGCUUCAUUCUUGCAUCUAUAUAUACUAUCUUUCUAUGAUCUAUGUGGCAACAUUCUAUAGGACCUCUAAAAACGUGUUGACUUUGCAUGACAUAUAUCUUAACUUGCAAGACAAGUUUUCUAUAUAGGCGCCACAUAGUUAGCUUGUUCUAUAAGCUACCAAUACAUGUAGCAUGUGGUUAGCUUGUUUACUAAGUUUUAACCUAUCAAUCAAUUACAAACACAUGUAAAAUCAAAAAUAGCAUCUAAAAAGCCUCUAGAAAGCUUUUUUAUUAGUUUAUAUUAAUUUUUUUAUAAAUUAAUAGUUUUAAUAAUAAAAUCCUUGUGUAAUUUAUUAUUUUUCAUUCUAUUAUAGAUUUUUGUACAUAAAAUAUUUAAAACGUGGGCCUUGCACUUAGUUACAUAUAUCAAAUAAGUAUAUGACAUAGUAAGUACAAUAUUCAAUAUUUUAUCACUUUUAUAUUAUAUACUUUAAGUAGUUUAGGUCUUUUUUAUUCAUGUUUCUUGUCUUCUUAUAGCCUUGUAUUUAAAUGCUUAAGUUGAUUGACAAUCAUAUUGACCAAAUUCCUACAUCACAAAAAAAAAAAAAAAAAAAAAAAAAAAAAAAAACUUUAAAAGCAAAGGUAUCAUCUCUUAGUACACUACUAUCAAGUCCCUAAGCAAUUGGAAGAUAAACUCUCGCACUAACAAUGAUCUUUCAAACAACAUUUACUACAAUAACCAAUAUUAAAAAUUAGUAAAUUAUUGCAAUAUAAUCCCUCAUCAAUAAAUAUCUAUUCAUAUAUUCACACCAUAAUUUCAAUACCACAAGUUUCAAAAACUUAGCUUUUACUAUAAUAUAUGCUAUCUUUUCAAUAAACACUCACCAUUCCAAUUUUUUUCUUUAUAUAUUUUGCAUACACUCCAUCUUGGUGGCUUUUAAUUCCUUAACAUAAAGAAUAUAUUUUAAAAUGAUAUUAUAGUCGAAUCUACCUUUGAAACCAAGAUGUUCUUGGCUUUGAAAUAGACCUAUUGAGUUAGUGUUAAUAUGUAGGCUAAUGAAGUCUAUAUUGAACAAAAUAUUGUAUACUAAAUAGUUGACAAUCAUUAAACUAUUCUUUUAGAACACUUUUUGUCCCCCUACUUUAUUGACCAAUUAAAAAAGAUGCAAGUUAUAAUAAUGUGGGGCAUAGACAAAAGACUGCGGAAAAGUGGGGCGUGGAGUGCAAUGAAAGGCAUUGGACUGUUUUAGGGCCAGCAAAGAAGCAACAAAUCUUCAUUCUAACUACUGGGCUGGUCAGCCAAUUCAAAUCACAUCCCGAAGCAUUGUAGUAGGCUGUGUAGCCACCGACACGUAGCAUGUGUGGACUGGGCACCAAUCACACAGUCUACUGAAUAACCUAACUAAAGGAUCAAUCACACAAACCUACGUGCAAUCCAGAUGGGACUUAUCUAGUCAUGUUGAUUGCCCAACCAAGCAUUGGCUCAUUCGAUCGUAUCUCGUAGCAAAGUGUGCAAACAUCACAAUGCUUGUAUUUAGAUUAGAUCAAAGCGUGUCAAGCUUUCAAAACAAUGCAGGCAGAUUAACAAAGUCUGCAGGAACUACUGAUUUGACUGAGCACAAUUCAUGACUCGAUAACUACGGCAUGGAGAAAAGCUGCUGGAAGUUUAUAGGAUCCAUCACAUCUUUACCACCGUGAAAAAACUCUCUCGCGAGCAGCCCGUUGGCCUUGUCAGUUGGAUGGAAUGGAUCCCAGAAGAGGUAAGCAGCUCGGUCCGGGCAAGUGCGUACCGUCGGUAGGCAUGGAAUCAGUCCGUUGUACGGUCCUCCUCCGCAACAGCCCUUGUUAACCUCCGUGAAACCUAAGAAUUCAAUGUAUCCACGAUCAGAAACCAUAAUGUGGUAUGGUUGACUUACCCAUCACAUGCUUAACAACUGAACUGCGUAAGAAAGUGGGUAGUGAGCGCUUGCCGAAUUGUGCUGGACUGGAUACAUAUGACGCAAUUAGAUCAUAGACGUUCGCAUAGACGAAGUUGGAUCCAGGGAGGCUUGCAGUGAGUUGCUUUAGGAGAAUUUUGGAUGCGGCGUUGAACCCUCUCACAUAGCUGUUGACAAACUGUAUGCAGCUCCCAUCGGGACUUCUUUGAUUGUAGAGCUGAGAGGGGAUGCAUCCCAGCGGUCCUACGCCGAAGACGACUAUCUUGCGCGCUCCAAGGCCGUAAAGUGUCUGUGGUCAUUGCAAGUUUUGUCAAUGUCUGGCGACAUGCAAGUUCCUAUGUUUAAAUAGAUUUAGUUUCGACAUCUGUGAGGGUAUAGUUUUAGACCCGCAGUUGCUUUUUGAAUUCUGAAAUGAGGAGGUCUUGGUAUUGUUGGGGUGUGUACUGCCGCGAAGUAGCGGACCCCGUAAGCAGGUAAUUAUUAAUGUAGUCGUUGCUUCCAAUGAUGACAGACCACAGCGACUUGGCGAAUACUUCUCCCGUUUUAGCUUCUCCGAUAAGCUGCGCGAACUGGGCCUUUGUGUUUUCCAAGUAAGUUAGCUGCUUGUUCAGAGAUAUGCGCCCAAUCUGCGCGAAAUCAGUCGACGAACCUCCUUAGAGUAUGGAAACCGCAGAUUUCUCAACAUCAAAUUUACCUGAGAAUGCAGAUUGUAAUAAAUCAGUAUCUAACGAUAGACAUACAUAAUUGAAGCCAGUAGAGUCGAGGAUGCCAGCUGCAGCUGAGGCGUAGUUGAUGCCUUGAAGAAUAGCUGGUCCCUGCGUCUCCUUACUCAGAUAUGGUGGAGGAAACGGCAAGCCCAUCAUUUGAACUGCAAUUUCGCCUCAAACAUUUUUAUUAGUAAUCAAGUAAUCAAGAUCGGCCACUGUGUAAAGUAAGAAGUGUGGAAAAUUAGGAACCAAGGAAGUUAACUUUAAUUGUUGUCGAGCGCACCAAUGAAGUCCGCGGUAGUGCGGCCAUUGCAGAAACGUCCUGUGGGCCCCUGAGGAAAGUCCAAGCCAUUCGGACGAAAAUUGGACUUGGCAAGUGUCAGAAUGUAAUUGUUAUUGCCAGGGUCGACUAGCGAGUCGCCGAGGAUGAAACUAGCAGGCUUGACAGUUUGUCCGUUUGAUGCUGUGAUUCCGCUGAAUACGACGAAUAUCAUAGUGAGCCGUAGUAAAAUACCAAUCCUCAACGUGAAGAGUUGCCGUAUUCCCAUCUCUCCACCUACUUCCUCUCAAAUUAUGACCAAUCUGCACAACCCAAAUCUUGUUAACAAAUGCCUAUGUAUUCAGCUACGAUCCUGGCUAUGUCUGAUGCAAUGUUCUCAGCAGAAAAGCAUCAUGCGCCUUCGAAGCAUCGCAUAUCUAAAGAAUCAGAAGACAUUGCACCUGUGCGGUAGGAGCUGUACAGCGUGCCAGUUGUUUAACAACUGCGGGGUAGAAUUCUUGGAGCUUGACAUCGUCCGGUUACUCGGAUUCUGGCACCGGCGACGGGACUGGAUCCUUACAGAGGAAACCGUGAAAGCUCACCUACUGAAAGAUCAGCGCAGCUAAUGCAACAACUGUGAGGGACAUGAGAGCCACCCUAGGUUUGAUGGCACCCUGUACGGACAAACCAAUAGUCUCUGGUGUUGUGUAAGAGCUUGCAACUCCACUUCAGCUUGUGCAUGUGACUCAGCUGGCUCUGCUUCAUUGAUAGCACUAGACGAUGUUGCUCGUAAUGACCCCGAUUAUGCUAGCUACACGGUAAAUUUAUCAAGAGCGACAUACAGUAUAUGUUAAGUAAUAAUCUUCCCAAGGAGCUCGUGAGUUGAGAACAAGAUGGUGAAUAAUUGCACGAGCAUUUCAGUCUGUACAAAUAACUUCGACACAAUCAUCUCCGUGCCUCACUUGAAUUCGAAAAGAAUGCGGUCACUGUCUCGUGAGAUGGCCCAAAGCUAUGCAUCCGACAUUUUGGAAAUCAUCCCCCCCUCAGCAGGAGAUGGAAGUCCCACUUCCAUUAUAUGCUUUAAAAUAGACAACAUUACACAGCCCACAGAAAUUCACAUUGUUUUUAGCCAAGGAUACGUCCUAUAUGUACAUUUUGAACAGCACGUUAUAGGAAGACCGCAAGAGUAUGCAAUUCAACUCCGUUCUUACAACACUUUUUAUCGAGCAGAUCAAAAGCUGCUGAUUCAGCAAUCAAACGCAUUAGACGAAACACUAAUCAACAGUAUAACUAAUCUGAGAACGAGAUCUUGAACAUCCUGUUGGCUAGGGCUUCAUGGAUGCAAGCGUCUUGACGUUCACAGGUUCUAUGGCAUCCUUGCCACCUUGGUAGAAUGCACUGGCGAGAAUCGCGUUGGCCUUGUCGGUGGGGUGGAAAGCAUCCCAGAACAAGAAGGCUGCGCGGUCCGGGCAGGGGAUCAACCCUAAGAGGCAGGGAACGGCGCCAUUAUAUGGCCCCGCCCCGCAGCAUCCCUUAUUCACCACCGAAAACCCUGUGCAGUCAAUCAGUAAAUCAGAUCAGUUGCGUUGCAUUCUGCAGUGCUUCCCAUUCAGUGUCUUAGACUUAGAUCUAUAUCUCUCCCCGAAUGACAGGGCAGAGGGACAAUGUGCUACUCACCGUAUUUGGCUGGGUCGUUAAUCAGUGAAUAAGUUAAAUCAUACGCUUUGGCAAAGACGAAGAUGGAUCGGGGGAGACUUCCGGUGAGUUGCUUCAAAAGAACGCUCGUUGCUGAGUUGAAUCCUCUCACAUAGCUAUUGACGAACUCUAUGCAGCUUCCGUCGGGGCUUCUUUGGUUGUAGAGCUGUGAGGGGAUGCAUCCCAGCGGGCCAACGUUGAAGACGAAAACUUUGCGACCACCGAUGCUGUAGAGUCUCUGUUACGGAGAACGUUGGGGAUAUCAUCAACAUUACAGCCACGUACAAAACGAUGAUAAGUUUUAUUCUUUGAGAAGUGGACGGGUUUCUCUUGGGUUUUCACUUAGUUUGUAGAUAGGGUAGGGGUGUAGUGCUGAAUUACCCUCAACAACUUGUCGAAUUCUGAAAUGAGAAGGUCUUCGUACUCUUGUGGAGUGUAUUGUUGUGAAGUAGCAGAUCCCGUGAGCAGAUAAUUGUUGAUGUAGUCGUUGCUGCCGAUUGUGAUGUAGAAUAGCGCGUUGGCAUAUAGGUCUGCCGUUUUGGCCUCUCCUAUCAUCUCUGUGAUUUGGGCCUUCGUCUUUUCUACGUAAUCCAGUUGCUUGCUUAGUGGAAUACGCCCAAUCUGCCACACAAAACAUCCAUCAAAGCUGUAGCUGUACCAAGUGCUCGAAUUUUUCCAACGAAAAACAUGAAAGAAGCAAAAAAACUUUACCACCUGCAAAGCCUUGAACCUGGGGAAAUGACCAUGCCAAAUUAGUGGAACACUGUCGUGGUAACGAUCAUCUCAAAUAUUCCUCAGCUUUCUCACAAAAAUGCCAAUUUGAAGCAGGAAAUAAUGCAAAUGCAGGCAUUGCACAAAAUUCAAAGAAUUUAUGUUUGAUUCCGUAUUGCGUGCUUAUGCAUUGCGCUGUGAGACGUAAAAGAAUUCCAAGAGAACAGUAGCAAGAGUGCUCUUCAUGUCUCAUUUACAUGAUCUUCUGAAGCGAGGGAUUGCGUCAGUGCAAUUGCUUACGUAGUUGUAUCCAGUCGAAUCGAGGAUGCCAGCCGCUGCUCCUGCAUAGUUGAUCCCCUGAAGAAUGAUGGGUCCUUGAGCCUUGGGACUCAAGUAGGGCGGAGGAAAAGGCAGGCCCAUAAGUUGAGCUGCAGCGUCAAUCACAAGACUUAACCAGAAUGAAUUUCUUGAUUGAAAUUAAAUAAAGGAAGUUAGUUAAAGAAACAAAUGUUCUAGGAAAGAGCAUCCUCUAACGCACCCAAGUUGUCGGCAGUAGUGCGGCCAUUGCAAAAUCUUCCAGUGGGUCCUUGAGGGAAAUCCAGUCCAUUCGGAAGAAAGUUCGACUUGGCAAGCGUGAGGAUGUAAUUGUUGUUGCCGGGGUCGAUGAGUGAGUCACCGAGAAUAUACAUCGCAGGCAUUAACUGCCCCAUCGCAGCUUGCAUGUUCCAGAAGAGGAACAACGCCACUGUCAGCCAUGGUAAACUGGCGAACUUCGGGAAGCACUGAACAGGUUGAAUUGCUCUAGACAUUGUCGUCAAAUUCUGCAAUUUGUAUUUAACAACGCACGUGAGACCUUAAUUAUACUAGUUAUAAAAUUCAGUAAAAUCGUCAUGACAGUUCUGAAGAUGUGAACGUGCUCAAAAACGAUAAAAUGUUAACGGGGGGGCUGAAGUGAACACUUCAAUACUGGUCCUCUACCUUCAACUGCGCAACUCGUAAGCUCUGCCACUCUCCUACCCUUUCGAUUCAAUUGCAUACGGAUGCACAAACAUGAGCUCAGUUCUACUAUCGGUACCGGUUCUGGAGUUCAUAAGUACUGAGGACUUUGAUUUUUGGUGGCAACUCUGCAUCUGAAGUCGUAAAUGCAUGCUGUAUAGUCUCACCAACUCAAAGAUCACCCAUGUAAAGCUGCUGCAUGGAUUUGAUAAUUUGCUCCAACUGUAGCAUGGGUUAAUUCUGAUGAAUAAUGGAUUUUUUUCCUUUAAUGCUGGUGGUCUGCACAGCUGGGAUUGACAAAGUUUGUCAGAAUGUGAAGGAGACAAAUUGAAAUACAGUUGAUAGAAAGUCCUCUGGGCAACUUAUACAUCCCACUUUCGUUUUUCUAAGCAAUGCUUAGUUUUCAGGCAACUGAGAGCCUCACCGACAAGACUCCCAUCUGUGGUGUGGGUGAGUUUCUCUGUUUGGGUUUUUUUCGCAUUACCGACUGCCUGGUUCGAUGUUGGCUCUGAUGGCCACUAUUAUGGUGCAGAAGCGACACAAUGCAUAAGGCGGCUUUCCUCACACUCUUGGAGACCUACAAAGUAUUUAACCCUAGGCAGAUUCAAGAAGACACUCAUGUCGGCGAAGUACAAGAAUCAUAGAAUCCCAGAGAAAACGAAACUCUUGAGUUCUAAGUUUUGGUUAAAUUUAAACGAUGAGUUUACAGAAGUAUUGACGGUUGAAAAUCGUUGAGUUUGUAAACCUCGUCGUAGACAGAAUGGAGCUCCCCUUUUCGGAAGAAACUAAUGACUAGAAUUAACUCCGGCAGCUGACAAGUGGAUCCCAUGAUACAUGCUGAUAAUUUGUGUGAACCUAUUGCGAAGUUAUCUAUCACCUGACAGAAGGGUACUAUGACAACACGAGAGUGAAGUCCAACAUUCGCAGCUUUCCAGGCGAAACUGUAAUAAUUCAUGUAGUACAUGAUGUAUUUGCAAUAUUUGGUAUACGGCAUUGCAUGCUAUAGCGACGGCGUCAGUGUCGUGGCCUCUUAAACUAUUUAUGUCGAAUCGAUAGACCCCAUCAUUUUGUGAUUUAUCCUUGAAACGUAAUGCUGACCUUCCCUCCUGCGAAUGCCGGUAACAUGAUUAGAACAUCGAUAACGCUGAACUCAUCUCUCAACAUGACUAGGUAGUUUGCGGUGAUCUGUCUCUUAAAACUCUCGUCUCUAAAACUCCAGAAACUGAUGCAGAUGUCUGAAACGAAUCCCAAUCAUCUCAAUUGCCGCCUCCAAGUUCAAGCUUGGAGGUGACUCUACAAUGAGCUUCAAUCUGCAGCGUGGAUGGAGAGCGUUGUCAAUGACCAAAACACAAUGACUCCUCUUCAACCCACAUCAGGUUGCUAACAACUCCCGAUGACAUGAACUCACUCUGCCAUUCUGAGCAGCAGACCCGAGAUUAAAGGGGUUGCAAAUCACAUGGUUGUGUCUGUC